rnacentral:lncRNA from 1 species
UUGGUUUUUCUGUUUAUUUAUUGCCUUAUUUUCCUCGUUAUUAUUUUGCGACGAUGGAUUGCGUUGCUGACGAAGGAGUUGGACCAGAAGACUUUGAAGACCCAGAAGACUUCGUUGAGCCAGGCAAGCAGCCCUUUGACCAUGUCUAUGAAACCCUUUUUAUGCAUGUCAUAUAGCACUUUAUCAUUGUUGCAUCGGAAUUGUGAAGAGAUGGUAAACCACGUUGGUUGGUUGCAUCUAUUACUUCCUCGUUGAUACUUGCAUUGUGCAUGACCCUACCUUCCUAUGAGGAUUAUGCCGGUGGGAGUAGAUAGGAUGCUAAAGUAGUUGCUACGCAAAAAGGGACGGGAAUAUGCAUGGUGACGGAGACAAAGUAUUUUCAAAGAACUUUUGGAAAACCCCGUCGGGUGUCACUUAUGCCCGAGGGAGAUGAUGAGAUGGGUAACCACUUGAUGACGAAGUGGUGUACCGAGGCAAGUGUGUGUGUUGUUUUCGAAAACGGAUUAGAUUUAAGAUUUGUUGACUGUCCCAACCUUACAUGCGCAACCACUCUACCCUUAUAUGGGAAAGGGCAUUAUUGAUUACCUAGGCCGAUACUAGCUUGGAGCCCGCAUUACUAGUGACGGGGGAGAGUUGGUGCUCUCUCUCGGGACGGGGUCGUGCCAGGUAGGGCGGCCAUGACUAUUUUUACAGGGCACCGGAUACACCGUUGUGUCCCCUCUCGGAUGUUACGAUCUCGAGUGAGUCUCGUAUGAUGUACAUCGUGAGGAUACAGAACAACGAGUGGACUCCAUGUUAGUAUCGUCUAGGGAAAGAUAGUGAUCGGGUGCUUACCCCGGGUACUUGAGGUAUCGCGGGUCGUGGAUGACACGGAAGUUCCCCGGAUCUUGUGGGUAAAGUGUGCAACCUCUGCAGAGUGUAAAACUAUUCGAAUAGCCGUGUCCACGGUUAAGGACAGUUGGGCGGUGCUUCUUAAACUACGUCCAGAGGUUCAAAAGCCAGUGUGUGGGUUUGGUUAAUUGGGGAGAACUACUUGGGUCAAGUCAAGGGACUUGACAUGAUUGAGUUGGGUUGAUGCCCACUCUAUUUAUGAUGAUAUCUGUAACAUGUCCUCAUGGUUACUUGAAUUCUCCCGAUUCAUAUCUUACAAGUUGUUGAACAUGUCACUACAUUCAAAACUAGCUUUCUGCAAAAAUUUACCUAUAUCAUGCAUUGUUGUAUCUUGAACCAAAACAUGGGUUGCUUGCGAGUACAUUCAAAGUACUCAUUGGCUUGCCACUGGUUAUUUAAUUGACCAGGCAUGGAAGAACCGGAGUUCGAAGAAGAGUUCUUUGGAGACGAACAUGCGAACUAGGAUGUUUCCCAGUCAGAAUGCCUGUAGGGUUAAGGAGGAUGGCAUGGGUUCUACUUAUCGACAAAGAUUUCCGCUGCUUGUGUUUUAUUUGAAGUUCAGCCCUUAAGGCUUUAUCAAUGUAAGACUUGACCAUAAUGGUCAUAAUUUGUGUAAGACGGUAUGUAUGGAUGUAAGACUCUUGUUAUUCAGCUUCUGUGUGUUCAGUGAGCAUUGAUCUCUGGGAUCACUGUACACGUGCAUUCGGUGAUCACGACUUAUGAGUCGGGGUCCCCAGAACACUUGUAUGAGCCGGCCUCGGGACUCUGUAAACCGGCCGGGCAUCAACCCGUGUAUAUAAGGGGACGACCCAGCGACGGUUCAUGGACAAGAAACAACAACUCGAGAGCCAGGCAUAGCUUGUUUAGCUCCCUGGUUAUCGAGACCCCAAUAAUCCCAUCACAACUAGACAUAGGCCUUUACCUUCAUCGAAGGGGCCGAACUAGUAUAAACACCCUCGUGUCCUUUGUCUGGUUUAACCCCUUUAAGCUAACCCGUCGCGAUGGCUCCACGACUAAGUCCUUCCACGAGGACAUCUGACGUGAUAUUUCCACGACAUAUCCCGUGUGUGCUCUAGUUUUGGGUUCUCCUAGACCACCAUUAUGAACCAAAAACAACCAUACCUAGUGAAGGGGAGCUCUUCGCAGUUGUCAGUGGAAAGAUGGAAAUUGGUUCUAAAAGAUCCGAGCUAGGGAUAAGAGAUAUGGUUAGUUGGCAGAAUGGAAGGAAUGUUAUUCUAACGGGAACCGGGAAAAUAAUGGUUCCCAAUACAGGGCCCGAAGAAGAGAGACGAAAGUAAGUAGUGAAAGAAGAAAUAAAGUACGCGGAUCAAAGUGAAAAAUCACAUAGCUACUAAGUCAAAACGUCCAAUGAGAAUGGAGAUCAAGAGGGACAUGAAAUCCAUUAGCAGCUCUAUAAGUUAUUUCAUUAUUAGCAUUCCUUAACCAAUAGAAAAAGAAAGAGAUCACAAGUGUUAUCAGUCUCCAGACGCAUCUAUCUAUAAAAAGGAGUAGGGCACCUGAUAUGAGAUACAUACUAGAGUCAAGGAUUGAGACCACUAGUGAGAAGGCCAAUAAAUCAUUUUUUUAUCGGAAGGGAAAGAAGGACCAUCCAUUGGCAAGCACUAAAGGUAGGAAUCUAGUGGCUGCUGCAUCAAGCUCCAUCCAUGAUUUUACACUCUAGAGGAGAGAACUGCUGUGAGCCAGCUUUGUAGCGACCUUUCUUAUGCGGAAGCAAAACCUGUAUUUCUAUACAAGUUUCCUUCAGUUGCUUAGGGUGAGCAAGCCCAUAAUAUUCCUUUAUAUUCUUUCUCCCUUUUCUGUUGGAGUUACAUAGGAGUGGUCCAUAGGGGGGGCACUAGUUACUGGUUGGGAACCAUCAGUCCAUAGGCGCGCGAAUAGGGGUCCAUCCAGUUUAUUCUUUUGGGGUUGUGUGUGGGACUUUCCUCUUGAUGUGGAAAAAUAGGCUCUUAGGGCAUAUGCUGCCUUUACCGGAAAAAGAAAGUCAACGGACUUCAUGGACGAGGAGGUGGAGGAUGAAUGGUAUGGCUUGCUCACUUGCUUAAAAACUUAUUUUCAAAAAUAAGGAGACAGAAUAUAAAUCUCCGAAUGGAGAAAAGCAUAUUCUAGCAUUUUCCCAUAAUCUUAUUCAAAAUAGGAGUGCUACAUAAGCAUAUGCUAAAGGGGGAGGAAUCCAUUUAUUAUUUCUUUCUUAGCCUGGGCCUAACUAUGUACAUAAAUCUAUCUAUUAUUGCCUGCAUCGACAGCAAAGUAAACUCUGCUGAUGACAGAAGAACAACUCUUAGGGCAGUUGCAAGGAAACUAUGAGCUAUUUAUUGUUCCUUUCUUAGAAAAAAAAAGAUAAAGGAUGGCUUAUGGUCUAUUUUCUUACUUGACUAUCCUGCCUGACUUGGCUAAUAAAAGAUACCUAGCAUGACACAUCAGCUAUGCCAUCUGAGCCUGUCCACUUGCUAGUCAGGAAAAAUAACCGCUCCGUUCCGUGGGAUUCUUUCGCAGCUCUCUUCACGCUCGCUUUACGAGUGCAACCAAGUUCAAUAAACUGUUCAUGCUAAUUCAUAAACUAUGCUGGUUUCUAUCUAAGAGUCUUGUGAGACGCUUCUUUCUCAUACACAUCUGAAGCAACGUUUGAUCAUCCGCAUUAGAGAGUUUUGCAGGUCCUUGAGAGAACGUUAUCCAGUCAGUUAUGACUUGACCAUGGUCUGAGGCGAAAUUGGUCCUGGUCCAUAAAAUGAAAGGUGCUGGGCAAGCGCAGAGAAGUCGUCUGAAGGGGAGUUCCAUAGGAAUGUUCAACUUCGAUCAACCUUGGUUUGGUCCCAUGCCUAAAAAAGACAGAAGAUCAAAAACAAAAUGGGGGUGAUAUAACCCACUGCUCGCCUAAGAAUGUACUGACGUAAUCCCUACUAUGGCUUCCCGAAGGAUCCAGCUGCUAAGAGGGUCCGAGCCAUAACAGAUUGAUGUGACCGUAGCAGCGACUGGAAUCGAUCUAAAUGAGGCAGUUAUGGGACUUAUCUUAUAUAACAAUAUAUAUGGAGGAAGGAUUCAAAAAAGGUGGGGGUCAAGGUGUAUAAUACGAGCUCCACUUUCAGGCAAUGAGCUAGCUUAACCCUGAUUGCUUAAGGUUUAAUACAGUUAGGGAUGGCACCCGCAGGGUUUGGGUACAGGUAGAGCCACCCCAUACCCUUACCCGUCGCCCCAAACCUUACCCAUUACCCGUACCCAUACCCGUCGACGGGUCCAACUUUUUCCCAUACCCAUCACCCGUCAGGGUAAAUGGGCACCCACGGGUAAAAUUACCCAUAUUUGCAACACAUCAAUUUGAGCAUUACAUAGUCAUAAACAACAACUUAUAAUAAUAAUCUAUAAAGAUCAACACGUCAUGACAGCAACACAUGAAUACAUGACAUCAUCUAUGGACAACAAAGAUAUUCCUACUCUAAGAUCAGCGCUCAUAAUAAUUAAAUAGUAAAUAAAAUUGUAACUCAACUAGCCGAAAUAACCUUGCUUUUGUCCUUGUGUUUGGUAGCGGCAGCAGCAGAUGGACCAUUGCUAAGCAAGCUAGGGUGUCGCUGCUUCAUGGAUAACUUGGACAUAGUGUUGUAGCGAUGCUGCGCCUUGGACCCCAAAGCAGGAGGUGGGAGACCUUGAUGUCAGCCGGGGAGUUGGCUCUUUCCUAGCGCGCGGAGGCGCAAGGCACCAUCUGACAAUAGGGUUAGGCUUAGGCUCAUGGUAGGUGUGCCGUCCUGGCUAUGGUGGGCACUGAGUUGUAGCUCCACCUCGCGGUUCCCGUCCACGCGUGAUCUAUGAUCAUGGUCCCUGGAUCCAUGGUGUUGGCGUCCACCUCGAAGGACAGGAAAGGGGUGGUGGUGCGAGGCAUCAAGUGGCUGGAGGUGCCGACGGAAGUGGGCAGCGGCGAGAAGAUGAGAUCGAUCUGCUAGGCGCUGGCUGGUACGAGCGUGCGAGGUAAUUUUAGACGUGAAUCACGCUGAUAUAGCUAUAUAAGGAACGAGGCAAUUUUGGACAUUAAUCACCUUUUUUGAGACAAGGACAUUAAUCACCUAGAUACGUACAUGUAUGGGAUGGGCUUGUGGGUCCUGUGGCUUUGUUGUGGACCAGUUGCGGGAUUUACGUAAAAAACUUUUAGUAUAUGGAUACAUAAUAUUUGAGGCCUAUUUAACAUGGGUACACGGGUAUGGGUUAUACUAAACCAUACCCAUACCCACUAUACCCGAUGGGUUACAAAUUUUCCUAUUUAUGUACCCAUGGGUAUUUUAGUGACCCAUACCCUUGCCCUAAUAGGGUUUUUACCCGUCGGGUACGCGGGUCAUGGGUACCCAUUGCCAUCCCUAAAUACAGUCAUGUUGGAUCUGCUACUAAGAAAUGAAGAGAAAGACUUAUUGCGACAGCUCAACCAGAUGAGACAUCUCUUAUUUACAAAACUGUGCCAACGUGUGCCUACAUUGUUUGAUUUACCAGUUCCGGGUAUUGGAUUUUUUUUUGGAAUAGAAAGAAUGAAACUAGUACCAGCUUAUCGCCAACCGUGCUUUCUACCAACUCCGCCAACCCUAGACGGGAAUAUUGAUUGUGAUUUAGCCGCACCUGAACCCGCAACUGCUGCCUCUACUCUGCCUACUUCUUGUGCCAACUUCGCCAGCCUCGUGGGGUACCGAUUUCCUCCUGCUUUGUGUGCGUGCCAUUGACUCCUUUAAUGGGUCGAAACCUACUUAGUUCUCAUUUUUACUUCGUCUAUACAAGAAAAGAAGGACUUGUGUUUAGCAAGACAGAGAAUUGAAUAAGUAAAAAUAAAGUCGUGUGUACCCUUUACCGAAAAGCAAAUAUGAGAGAUAGGGUACGACAUAUUGCUUAUUCCUGAUUGAUCUAGUUGACGACAGUUGCCUUGUUGGACCGAUUGUGGAUUGGAAUAGAAGUUUCUUAUAUACAGAUAUUCGUGUUUACUGAUUUCGCAUACUGGGAAUGGAACUUGAUGUAACCCAUUGGAAACUCUCUUUGAGACUCAUUAUCUGUUAUAUACGACAGGCUAAUUAAGUCCUUCAAUUUUAGAAAGGAGUCUUUCCUUACUUCCUUACACAAAAUUGUUAUGUUGUUAUGCUGCUCGUGCAAUCAAAACUUAGAAUAGAAGAAAAAGAGUUCCCUCGGGACCCAUCCUCUUAUCCUUUGCUUGUGUGACUAUCAUGAGAAGAAUUCCAUUCCAAAAAGUCAAAUAACAAGAAAGAGAAACGAGGUCAAGAUCCGUUGUUACCAGUACCGACGAAAUGGAGAAAGUGUCCUCCGGGAACGCAAUCUACUACAUUAGUUGGUGUGGCCAAAGAAGAGGAUAUCCCCUUUUUUACCCAUUAGUCUUCAGACCAGACCCAUACCAUAGCUACAAACACUUUUGAGUCGGAGGAGACUGGCCAUAUCGCCUUCUUGAGGCUCUCUGGGCUUAUCGGACAUCAAUCUGUAUAGCCAUUGGUCCCCUUCUCCUUAGUCGUUGGCAUGGACGCCAUUCUUCCCAGUGAACUCGACGAUUCCUUCCCUACGUGUUCUGCCCGGCGACGAUAUGACUGAUAAUCAGAAGCGAGAGGCUCUGCUCUCGAAACUUGACCUCCUUGAUUCGAUCGAUGGGAGAGAAAAAAGGUUACGAGCGGCAGAGCACGCACAAGUCUAUCAACGUCAACUCAGCCGCGCUUUGGAUCCUACGAAUAAGAGGCAUUAACAAAGCAUUUAUGAGACACCAUACUUUCAAUAGGCAAGGGCCAGCCCAAAGAUCAACGAGAUCUUUCUCCAAGCUAAGUUUCUACCCCCGAGGGAACCGGCCACGAUGCGUGGGGGUAUCGGUGCUGAUAAACUCGUCUCCGCUCAUCUUACCUGGAAAUGGAAAUAAAUUAUGGUAGAUUACCUACCUCAUCUAAGAUGAAGGAAUUUCCUACUUAAGAUUCAUAUGCCUAUUUUGCUAUUGAUGUGGAGGAAUUGGUACUAGCCUACUCGAUAUGUUCCUUGCCUGGUUCGCUAUAGGAAGUGCUUUCAGCAAAUGAGGAGGGGAAUAUUCAUAGGUAUGAAUCUUUCGUCAAUGGUUAAGGUUGAAGUGAAGGCAAACCUUCUUUGAAUUUUGAUGCCUAAUUAUUUAGCUCUGGUAUUGAGAAAGAAACCAUUCAUACGGCCAGGUCAAAGAAAUGCUUCUUCGGCUUACAAUUCCGAGUCAACAACCGUAACUCGAGCACUUAACCCUAGCUCUUGCUCUUUCCUUCCUUGCAAUGGGCUGCCUGUGUGCCUACUAAUAUUUACUUACCUCAAUGGUGCGCUAACUUUAGAAUGAGGAUUUGCCAAAUUCGUAUUAGGGGGGGCUAUGCAGCAAUUCGACCACUGUUAUUGUACUAGAUAUCUCAGGCUUAUCCUAAAGAAAUUAUGGCUUCGCCUCUUUUCUUCCUGGUGAUGGAUAUAGUCUCGAUGGCUUUGCCCAAGUAUGGCAUAAAAUUCAAAUAGGAUAUCCUUCAAAAGGGAAUUUCAUGUGUGAGAACCUUGCCUCUUUUAGGGAAGGCUAUUUACCAAGUGAGUCCGCACAACAUGCUAUGAAACAUAAGAAUCAUUUUGAAUCCCAUUUGCACCCGGAUUCAGCUUCUUUCGAACUAGCAAAUGCACUUUCAGAGCCAACAACGGAUCGGCUUGGCCCAUUCCCCAUCUGGGGAAGAAAGAGUCCCUAGAUCUGCAUCUACUAAGUAUGCCCUGAAAUUCAUGUUAUGAUCCGGUCUUUCCCAAAGCUAGGGCUUCUUUUCCCAUCCCUAUCCUCUGCGUCAACCUGUACCGGACCCAGAGUCAAAACUAAAAGGAGAAUAAAGUCUCGAAAACUCUUAAUUAAUAAAUAUUCGUGUGCCUACUUUGCUUAUCCUUCUCUGCCCCAUUAUAGAUAGUUGGGUAGAGCGAGAGGGAUAGCAAGGACUUGAAAAAGGAAGGUUUUUUACGGCUAAGAUGUUUCAGUUCGCCCCGACAUGAAGCUACCACUUCUCUCCUAUUGUUUCAAGUUGUUAUCUCAUUGCCCCCUUUUAGUAGCACCUUUGACCUCUAUCGCUCAGAGCACAAAUCGUUGUGCUCCUCACUGCUCAAGAGACUUCUUAUUUUCUUCUUACCCUUCGAGAAAUCAGUGCAGCUGAACUCUUUCUCUUUUGGUAGUGGAUUCCAUCUUCAACUACUUGCAAAUGAAAAAAGUGCAAUGUUUCCGUUUUUUUCUGGCUCGCAUUCCUCCAGCUUUUGUUCUUUCUGACGAAAAUCACUCUUCUUUACUGGGAUUCCGGUACGCGACUAUUGCUUUCGCUUUCACCACUCGUAAUAAUGGAGAGGGAACUACUCGCUAAUGGUAGUAAAACCGCCCUGCUCUUCUUGGUUAGUAUGGAGAGAAGUUAUCCGAAAGGUUGAAAGAUGCCAACAUGAGCUAGCGUCUCGUUAUGCUUAAUAGCAUUCCAAUCUUUUAAUAAUAAUCACUACUUGUAUCUCUUUUGCUUUGCUUGGUUGAUUAGUUUCACUACUUCAAAUAAAAUAAUGAACCUUUUCCUGUGUGGCCAAAGGGACUACGUUCCUAAAGUUUGAAUUGAUCAUUCAAUUGAUCUACGAAUCAUGCACGACACAAGGUAAAGGAUGGAAUGAGACAUCUGAUAAAGAGCCUAGAAUGACCUUUCCCGAUCUUUUGAAGGGUAAGAAUAAGAACUCUGUUGUAUCGAUGCACUGCUCUCAGGCGAGAUUGAACACGAAAAAAGGUGCAUCAAGGCGUGAAUAAGGAAGAAGUCACCUUUGUCGGUUUUCAAAUUGAGGACCAACUGUGCUCCGAAAGUGAGAGAAGAGAUCUCAAAAGACCGACACCCACAUCAAGAGAAAUAGACGAAGCAGCUCAAGCAGAGCUAGAAACGGAAGCCGAAGCAGCAUCUUCUUCCUUUUUCCAUACAGAGAAAGGUGCCUUCGCUUAGAUUUUUUCUGUUGAUCAGAAUUCCUUAGAAGAAAUUGGAAGAAAACCGUAGUGAAAUGGUUGAACCUUAGCGAAGUAUUUUGGGUUCAUUACAACCUUCUCCUAUUCAGAAUCGGAGAAUAGGAACGAAGUAGCUCGCCUAAAGAGGAACUAAAAUUCUUCUUUACUUCGAUCAAGAAACUAGAUUCUCAAUAGAGUUGCUUACUACAAAAAGAAAGAUGACCCACCUUUAGUGAUUAGAUUGAUCACUAGCCCUUACUCUCAGUCACUGAUUCAAGAACCAAUACCGAGACAGAAAAAACCCUUGAUGGUCUACUGCUUGAUGGCUUUACAUUGCUAAAGAAUCCGUAAUGGACAGCAAGAACUCUGAGUCAAGAAAAGUACCAAAUCGAUUGGAAAUGUACGCUCCUGUGGGAGUCGAACCCACCGCAUAGGUGCCUUGUUCUAUCAAGAGAUGAACUAAGGAGCGGCAACCCCUACAUCAGUUCUUUGUACCGCCCAGAAGGGCACGAGAGAAAAAACAAAACCAAUAAAAGAUCAGACGAGACAGAAUUGGUAACAUCAACGUCUUUUCGUCUUCUUGCCUUAGUUUCAUAUAACUCAAGCUCACUUUCCAAAAAAGAGUACUGAUUGAGAUUUCCCUUUUAUGAUGGCUAUCCCGUUUCUAUUACUACUGAAUUUCUUGUCUACCGGCUGGAAACUUGAAAGGCUUACCACGGGAUCGAAGGCAGAAGAACUUUUAGGAUUGGCUAGAGGGGAACUACUCCCCCAAUCCCAUUUUUUCACGGGAACCCAAUGUUAUUAGAUUCUAUUCAUUCAUUCUGAAUCUUUUAUCAUAUCGCUUAUUACGGCUAUCUUUAGAAUUUCAUUGACUAUAUAUGUUUCUUUCCAUAUGAGCUAUUCCCUUUGCUUUCAAUCUGUCUUGUGCCACUCCAGCUUUCACUCAAGCCAUUCUUUGCAUGUCGACCCUCACUCUUCCUAUUGCUUCCUUAGGAAAGAGCAUAAAGAAGGCACCGAAAACAGGUGGGAAAGGAAAGGUAUAGUUUUCACAGCCGACAAGCGGCGCAUUUAAGCCCUAAAGAACUAGCUUCCUGGAAAGAACUCACUCGAUCACCGGCUUUCAGGGGAUUCCCCUACUUAAGAAUAAAGGGUCAUAGACUACGAAAGGGCUACGUUCACUUGAUGAACGGUAAAAGGUAUUCUAUUACAUAACGAGAGCAUACGAGCGGAAUACGAUACUAUCGAGCUUUCCGAAAGUGUGAGCUGAAAUUCAAGGGUAAUCGCACCCUUGACUCUAUCACAAGCUAUUGGAAUUGGCUGGAACUUUAUAUACCAAAAAGGGAUAUAUAUAUAUAUAUAUAUAGGGGUUCGUUUUAUUGAUGCAAUAGAGAUCUUUCAUAGAUGGAUCCCGAUAUGAUCUUAUUGAUACGAGAAUUAGAAUCAAAUAAAAGUGUUUUUUGAUGCAUGCACUCUUUUCUUUAGGUUAAUCAGCCCUUACUUGCAUUGAUUUAAAGGUCCUAUUUCCCAUUCCUUGCGGACUUGGUAAUCUAACAACUCUUCAAGGGAGAGGAUUAUAGGACACUAUAGCUUAUCUGCCUUGAUUUCCGAAACCAGAACUACUUCGGCCUUCCCUCAACUCAUUGACCUAGCCGACCUAUAACUUAUGCUGUGUAUAGAUUGACAAAUUGUUGGGUCUACCCCCAGGGCACCCUAUAGCUUAUGUUGGGUGUCAGGGAAGAAAAGUAAGGGAAAGCGGUCUUCUUCAAGCCGAAGGGGAGCCCGGAUAAUUGAAUGAAGGUUGGGACAGAACUCCAAAAUAACAGACCUUUCCUACUAGUUUGCUGUUCUGGUUGGGAAAGCAAGAAAUGGGAUAAUCAUUUCCAGUCAAUUUGUCCUAGUUUUCCUUCUGGAAUUCCAGUCAGAAAAUCAAUGAAAUAGGAUUUGGAUCAGAAAAUCAGGAGAAGAAAAGCAACCGAACCAUAGAUCAUGCUUUGGCCAACCCUCAAUUACCAAGUUCUUACUAUCUAACCUAGCUUUUUUCCAUAUAUGUAACCUUUGUUUAUGAAACCUCGAAUGCCUCUAUACAGUGAUGAAAAUAGGGUUGUACAUGUAAUAACAUCUCUUGAUACCAGUAUUCUAGCUUAUGGUUCAUGUGGGAUUCCUUGCUACUUCCUAUAGCUCUUAUUUUGCAGAUACAUUAGCAACUUUGGCCUCUAUGAUUUUGAUUACCGAGGGACUCUGAUACCAGUCUUGGUGCAAUCGUCAGGGUCACCCGCCUAUAGUUUUCGCCAUAGAAACUUUACAAGAUGAGGAUGGUUAUGAUCCUAAAAGGUAUGAUGACAUAUAGAAAUUCCAAAAUAGGUAAAGUCACCACCAUAAGCUAAGGUGAAAGAUCGAGUUGUACUUUUCAAAACUCUGCCCUGUUUAUUAUCUAUGGUGAUAAGUUUUACAUAAGAUCAUUUAACGGGAUGCACCUUAUUAGGAUGCAGAUCUAGAUCACAAGUAAGAAGUGAUGCGCGAGAUGGCUCUAUCUCUUUUCACAAGUAUAGAUGGCCAUCAAAGAUUAGCAAAGCUAUACCAAAAAUAGGUUCACGUAAGAAAGUGCCUAUUAGUUUGCAUAGGAAUGCCCAUUUUAGUUUACGAAAGAGUGCACGUAGAAUAACAAAAGGGGUUAUUCAUGUGAAAGCCAGUUUCAACAAUACCGAAAUCAUAACAUUAACAUUUCUAUAUUCGAAUUUGAGAUAUAUAUACCGGACCUGAGUAGUAAGUGUUGACUCAUGCGAGUCACUCCUUCUUUGCUUUGACUUCUUGGCUGGCUUGAUGCUCAGUCUGGCCAACGGGAUGACCCCCUUUUCUCUACUUUGUUUAGCUUUGCGAAUGAGAAAGGUUCUUUUAGGCAACUUCGAACCCCAUAUUCAUACCAAUUUCCCACCUAUGUAUUAUUUUUUAAAAUAAAACCGUAGGAAUCUCUCCGAGGGUAGUAGGUCGGGGGAGCACCUUCCCUUUUCCUUAUGGGACCCUCGAUCAUACUUUUUUCUGAUAGCCAGAAAGGAAUGACCUAACUUACCACUAAGUAGGCACCCUUUUUCUUUUCCUUCUAAACUAGCUACUCUCCCUCUACCAGUUCGUACUGAACUUUCACUUUCAUUUAUUUCAUUUAUAGGCGGGCUUGAUUUUUCGAUUUGCAUUAUCCGUUGGAUCCAAAUCCAUAUCAUAAUCAAGUAGAUAAUGUGAUGACUGCCUAUCUCUUUCGAGAAUGAGUCCUUUUUCCGAUACUUACUAUUAGGGUAGGAAAAAAUAGCAGGAAUCUUUCCAUUCGUAUACGUUAUGAGCUCCUUCUUAAGGUUCUGGGCUAUGAAUUCCUUCCUUGGUCCCUUCCUUCGCUAGAAAAAUUCCUAAACCUACCAUCGAGAAAGCUGGAAAUCCUACUCGUGAUGCGGUAACAUUUUGAAAUGAACCAUUUCGAUGAUACAUCAUUUCAGGAAUUUCCUUUCACAAAUGCUCUAUUAAUAAACUAUUCCGUUCCCAUUGCUAAGGGGCUUUGAACACCUCGGGUGCGCGGUUACUCUCGGAUGGUUCACGGCAAUUCCAGGUAGUUUCUACUAAUAGCUCAUUUUCCUGUAUCGAUAAGAGAAAUGGCAUCAUGUCUUCUUCCGUAGCCUGAACUAUCCAAUGAUUCGUCUUCGGAUAGCAUUAGAAAAUCCCUUUCAUGCUUGCCAAUACAACUAUUAUUUUUCUUAGCUGGGGAGCCUUUGGAAGUACCGUUGUUGGAUCGGAUUGAGCCAUUAUAGGAUCGGAUAAAGAUUCACUCUUUGCCAAUGCCUGCUUCCUUGGUUUCCUACUUUCUGCAUCAGAAGUGACUUUUUGCUCAAUACCGAGAACCACUUCUUCUACUUUUCGAGGCGUAGAUCGCCCGUCAUUUGAUUUGCUUCGUCAAAGCGGAUAGCAUUAUGGAAUUGAUUAUAUUUGUAGAAAAAUCACCCUAUUUAAUAAGUCCUCGGAAAUGAUCUCAUCUAGUACUUCUCUCAGCCUAUUUGCCAAGACUUUGGAGCAUAGCUUGUAAAUGACAUUGCACAAAGAUAUUGGCCUAUAUUGUGAGAUUUCUUGGGGGUUCUACUGUCAGCAAGUGCACUAUUAUUUACUUCACCGUGUACUUAAAGAAUUGUUGGUAGCAAAGAACAACACCUGAUAGAAAGGAUGCUAACCAAGCCUCUUCUAUUUAAGCAAGGCUACGCCAGAAUAAGGGGUACAGUAGGCUGGUGACCCUGACGAUAGCACUAAGACUGCCUCGGGAAUCUCCUCAAUCGUUGAAGAGUGCCUCGGGAAUUGAAUAAAAGCACUGAUAUCCAUAUAAUCCCACAAUUAUGCUAUUUCUCUUGAAGAGAAGACACUUGAACUUCGUCAUGUGCUAUCGAUUCUUUUGAACCUAAAUUCACAUUGGCUCUUUUUGGCAUAUAGCUUUUGUUUUUCUGUGAAAGUCCUCCUUCCUCUGGACAAAGAUUACAUUAGAGGUGCCUCGACCCGAAAGAGCAUGAUACAAUCAAUUAGGAUGUAGCGCUGCUACAAGAAAGGAUAGGACUUUUGCCAAGUCUAGAGUUCGAUUUCCAAAAAGAGAAAGCCACUAACAAAAAGAAAGAAAAGAGGAGGAAGCUGGACUUACCUCUGUUCGAGAUACAAUGAAUCGAAUAAAUAAGUCUUAUGGAUGAAUGUUGAAGACGGACGAUACAACCCUACUAAAAGUCACAAAGCUCACUUCGCUAUCAGGCCUAGCAGUUGCUUCAUAAUAUCAGUGAGAUAGAUUAAUUGAUUGUUUCUUUUUUUGUUAUAGAAUUCUAAAUCAAGCAUUAGUUUGAACAGCAUAGAAAACUCUUUUCCAACUAAGCACUCUUGAGCAUCAAGCAAUUAUAUGGCUUGGAUUCGGUCUGUUCCAUCUUUUACCUUUGGAAAAAUAAAGGGAUUGGAGCCGCAAAUCCUUGUUGAAGAGGAUAUCGAGCACAAGAGUGAAGAGUGAAGAGUAGAGGGCGCAUUGGAUGUGCGCUCCCUAUGACCGAUGUCCCACUAGAAAUGGAUCUUUGGAAAGAAGAGUGUUUCUCCCUAUAUUUCUAUUCUAUUCUAUUUCUAUAAGUGAAUUAUUGAUCAAGAUCAAAUGGAGAAAAUGUAGAUGUGAAACUAUGUUCUUUGAACACCUUCUUCCAUGCUAUUGAAGCUGGCAAACAGGGGAGUGAGUGACGAGAGAAGCCAUGCCUCUUUCGAUGUGAGGCAAGCGAUGAACGAGUAGAUGUUGCCCUUAGACCAAUUUUCUCUUUCGGUAGCUGACACCGAGAUGGGCUAGGCUAGGAAACCUUAUUCGAGACAAUAGGGAUGGUAAACAAAGCGAUGGGGUAUACGUACGAAUUGGAAUACAAAUGAAAUCAUUGCCUAUAAAGAUGAACCCGUUAGCGUAUAGGAACAACAACAUAUGAAAGUUGGGUGGAUACUCCUAUUUAAUUGGUUUAACCAGAAAUAGAGGAUAGGAUUCGAAAAGUCAACCGAAAACCGAGCCCUAACCUUUAAUUGAUGAGAAUUUCCAUACCCCUACUACUCGUAUGUAUUGGCGUGGGUUUGUAUGUAAACAUUCGUAUUGGCUUAGCAGAGCACUUCGUAUCCCGCCACAAUCGAUCCUUUGCUUCCAUCUCACUCAGCUUUUUGACUCAGCACUCGUUCCCCCUGUUACACAAAGCUACGUAUACAUGGGUAGUUGUUCAUCCCUUUUGCUCGUGACAUAUCCCCUCGCUCUGUCUUCUAUUCCUUUUGUGUGUUACGUUACUAAGGCCAUCAGUCUUAUGGAAAGAGAAGGCAUAUAAUCUAUUCUUUGACCGGCUUUGCUUCUUUCGUGAUUCACGUAGAUUGGAAUUCACUUUCUUUAGGGCAUGGCUAGUUUCGGGUUUUCUAAAACCAUCACCCAACUCUUUCUUAUUCAGACACACCAACUGAUAUGUUGGAUUAACAAGCUAGGGAAUAAUUGGGGCUUAUGUGGACCCCUUCCCUUUAAUUUAAGAAAGAGGUCUUCCUAGCUGACUUGAAAUUAGAUCUUCUUCCGAGUUUCGUUCUCUAUGGCUUGUGAAUUGUUGUACUGCCUGUUUCACUCUCUUCUAAGGGAUCUCCUCCUAUGGAGGUAUGUAAAGUGGGUUCUAUCACAUUUUCCAUCUUAGGGUGAGCAAUAUAAGCAAUUCUGGUAUCAACAGAUACAUUGUUUGGAAAAGAAAGUGAAAACAAUAGAUCCAAUUUUGGGUUUUGGGGAUGGAUUUCUCACAACCCUAAGGUGCUUGCUAAUCUCUCGGAUGAGUCGAUGUCAAUAGAAAUUCUGAUGAAACAUCUUAAACAUCUUUAGUGCCUUUUGCCUUUGAACUCAAUCGCUCAGAAGAAAGGGAAUAUAACCUGCCCCUCAUUGUCCUUCAAUCAUGGUGCAAUGAAUAUCGUAGAUAGAGUGAUUUCGAUCUCAUAUAGCUAGCUUUCCUUUCAAAGUGAAACGAUUUUCCUUUUACGUUGAGAUAUUUGAAUUGGAUUUUCUUUCACCACUACUAUCGUAACGCACAGAAAACACUAAUGUUUCCGCUCGCUUUCAACCACUGCCACUUUACUUGAGCACUGUGACGCAGUCGGUCAAGUAUUGAGUUUCUGCUAGUAUAUCAAGAACUUAUGAGAACUGAAAAGAAAAAAUGAAAAAAGGAAUUCUCAUAGUUCAUUGAAUUAAGGGAGGGCCAUUCGUGGGGGGUUCGUGGAAGAGUUGGGUUCGAUUCCCUUUAUACGCGAAGUGGCGAAAAAGACUGAUUCAAGAAAAUAUGCCAUGCCAGCAUUCAGAUUUAAAAUGUGUCGUCUACUUCCAGGAAAUGUUCGGAAUAGAGAACUUUCUCUAAUCCAACGUCGUAUUCUCCGAAGAUUGAGGAACAAGAGGAGAUCCAUUAAAAGAAAUCUUUGUCGGAGAGAAAAUCAAAACAGUAACAUCAAAUCACAAACUACACGAAAGUUGUCUCUUUAUUAUGGGGAUUUACCCAUAAGGGAGAUGCACAGAGGAAGAGAACGAACUUCAUAUAUCCCUUUUUUACUCAAUCAAGAAACAAGAUCGGACGUGAUUCCGGUUCGUCUACAUUUUAGUGACACUCUUCCUCAAGCAAGGCAGCCGAUAAGUCAUCGAAGGGUUUGUUUGAAUAAUGGACUGGUAACCAUUACUCAUUUGAAAGUUUCCCACGGUGAUCUAAAAUCUUUUAAAGAAAAUGACGCGAGAACCCACGGUUUUGAAAUAAGGAGAUCUUUCUAUAUCGACAUAUCAGUUGGAAAAAUCAUAGGCAAAUUCCUAUCGGCCAUAUCAGUUGGAAAAAGAAGAGGCAAAUUCCUACCGUCCAGAAUCUGGAGAAGAACAAAAAAAGAAUGGUUCUGCUUACUCACAACUCGGAGGGGAUGCCGCUUACUAAUCAAAUCCAAGGAAUUGCAAAAGUUGCGUUCUUAUAUGCAAGAAGAAGACUUUGAAAGAACAAAGAAGUUUGGAUCCGCAAAAGUAUGCUUAGGCAGUUCCUUCGCUGAGCACAAUAAAAUGAAGAGGAAUUUGUUUCAUUUCAAAUACUUCUUAUUGAAAAGAGGGAAGGAGAAAAACAGAAAUCUUCCUACUCGAACAAUAAGUCCUUUUGUAGAAAAGUAUUUUUUAUAUAGUAAUUCGACCUAUUGCUCCGGAUCCCCGUUUACUAGGAAGAUAAGAAUCAAAAGGAUCGAACUACCUACUCAUUAUUCGGAGGUGAAUCAUAGAACACUAAAAGCUGUGGUAUCUUAUGGACCUAACAUAGGUCACAUCCCUCACGACAUAAGAUUGAAAGAUCCAAACCUUCCUCUUCGGAGCGAAAACGGACGUGGCCAAAACAUAUAAAAAGAUCGGCCUAGUCACUCAUAGGGACAUAUCUAUCCGGAUAGAGGAUAGUCUAGAUCAAUUUUGAGAAAAAUCUCUCUCUAUAUAGAUAGGUAUCUCUGUGGAUAGAGAUAAAGAUAGGGAUCCUAUAAAUCGAAAUAUAUGGAAAAAGUGCACUUUUUGACUACUACUACUAUUUCUUAGACUUUUUCAAGGAAACAUCGUUUUUCGAUUUUGACUGAAUUGGUCGGAGCGUAGACGAGCAAGCAGAGCCCAGGAAAGAGGUCAGAUCGUCAUAGAGCAGUCGACUAUAAGUAUAAGACUGCUGGCCUGAGAGAAGGCAGUCUCUCUCGGGAAACAUGGCCCAAUUUCUCUUCUUUAUUUUCACACGGGCAACAAUUGGGAAUAAAACAGACCAUGAGCAUGAGUUUAAAAUGUAAAAAAGGGAAGAGUGCAUUCUCCACUUUCUUAUCUCGAAAAUGCGUAAUAUAGUGAUGUCAUGUGUCUGUUUCUCUGAAAAAGGCGGGUCGGCCCUUAGGGCAAACAGUAGUGUCAGGUUCCAUUGUGGAACGGUCGUUUACCGGUGACCUUUGUCCACUGUAGUACGAGUGACUGGCGCAUCGCAUCCAAUCUCUCAUGUCAAUGAGUCAGUUAGAAAUAGCUCCAAAUGAAUCAGUGAUUUCCCCUUUAUUUCCCUCGGAGCGCAAGGGGAAACAAGAUUGAGAAUGAACUAAAACACACCAAAUGUUUCAUUUUGCCUAUUAUCAGUGGUCAGCUCUGAUACAAACUAGGGGAAAAAGAACCUGGAACGCCUUCUUUAAGGCGCUACUAUUUCUAGCGGCAUAGGUGCUUUAUCACAAUACGAAAGAUGUACAUACGAGGACUACGAUUCCUAUUUAGAGAUAUUCCUACGAGCGAUAGACGUAGUAAGGAAAUUACGUACGCCAAUAACAAAUACGAAUACGAAUUAUGCCAACAAGCCUACGCAAUGGCAUGUUUCGGCGUAUAAAGCUAAGAACGAGAAUAUCCUACUGCCUCCACUCGGAAAAGGCAAAGGUAUCCAGUAUAGGGUAUCGAUGAACGGAGGACAAGGAAAGCAGGCAAGGUGAACCUCCUUUGCCAAAGCCCUUUUGAAAUACCUUCUUUUUGAACCUUUAGAAAAUACCUGCUAGCUAUCCCUAGUUUUGUUUAACCAGCUUUCCCCCAAAAAGGGGAGAUCCGCUGCUUACUACUCAUGGAAACAUCCAACCUUAUGGUCAAGUCGUCCGCCUAUCUUUCUGAUCUCAUUUGUUUUCCGAUCGCAUAAAAAGUCAUGAGAUCAAAAACGAAGUGUGAGAAUGUAGUUACAGAUGUAAAAAAAGUCAAUAUCUCGUCCUCUUGUUCUUAAAUCAUGAAUUGGAUGAUGUGUGUUUCAUCAAGUAUGAACAUAUUGCAUUUUUUUGCUAUGCAAUUUCAGUACCGGAUCGACGCCCAUUUAUUUAUGUGUCCUCAUCCGCGUGUAUGUUUGUGUUAGAUAGGCUCAGGAAGGCCUUACUUUACUAACAGGUAGGGCGCGUUACUUUUAUUCUUUUUUGCUGCUUACCCGCAUGUUUAGAUUAUUUACUUGCACUUUCACUUUUUCUUCGGCUGUCAGCAACUUUGUUCAAUGCUAGUCCCUAACCCAUGAAUAAGGGCUCCGCUGGCUAUCGGGUUCAGAGAAGUUUGUAAGCUCUUUCUCUUUUUUUGUUUUUCGCCACCUCCUGUGUCUUUCCGUUUAAGGUCUUUAAUUCGGCAUUAGCUUCGUUAGAGAAAGCCAUGCGUGAACUACAAAGCAUGGGAUCCUGAACACCACGAAAGAAAGUGUACUACUUUUCAAUAAGGUCCGACUUCAGAGAGGAGAGACAUGAACUUGUUUUAGGCGUAGAAAAGGCAUACGGUAUGAAAGAUUGAUUCAAAAGAGGUAGGGACUGGUCUCGCUGCUAAGGGAGAAGGAGACCUCUAUCAGAUCAAGCUAAAGAGCCCACUUUAUAUCGUCGAUUUCAGGUAAGGCACUCGAUCAAGCCUAUACAUCCGGGAAUUUCACUCCAAACCAAAGACGACUUGCUUUGCUGCAUUUCUUGGGCCGGGGCUUUACUUGAUUUUGGCGAAAGAAAGGCCAUAUGAUCUACUUUCUGGUGCCGGUCCCUUCACAAAGAUAGCCCCUUCUUGCUCUUAUUCCUAUUCUUAUUCUUAUUCGGUGGAAUACAAGAGUUCUGAAGCUCCUUUCUUUCAAGUGAAAGUUGCCUAUAUUUCUUGGUUCGGAAUCCAAUCCAGUUGAAAACAAACAAUUGCCCGAUGGCAAAGUCAGACGAAAGGCUAGGAGUGUAAACCACGUACGAGCGUGGCGCAGAAAGCGAAAUGUUUUGCAACAAGUCAAGCGUAAUACGAUCAAAAGGAAAUGGGGUCGAUGCUAAAACUCAAAUAGUUCCCCAGAGGGGGCCCCGGGUUGAAAGAGCGAGUUGCAUUCUUUCAUAGAAGACAGAAAAUAAGAGGACUGAUGCUUUCUUACUUCAUCUUAAUAUAGGGAUUAUAGCAUUGGAAUUAUGGAAUUUGAAUGGAUUGAGUACAUCAAGAUGAAGAAAUUAACGUAAUAAGCGAUAUUCUCAAAAGAUUCGGUCAUGCCAGAAAUCUCAGUGUGCAUGGCACUAAAAAAGGGUACAAAGAACCUGAGAUGCAAGUAAUGGCUGAAUAGCCGGGGAAACACUAAAUAAAGACAAGUGUCAUCCGAACUUAUUUGAUUGAUUGAAUCGAGAGAUGGAAAUGCCAUUGAGAGAUUAGAAGGGAUAGAGAAAAUGUCAGAUAGAGACCGUGCUUCUGCUCAAUCCAAAAGAACAAUCUAAGUGAGGAUAAGGUGGUUUAUAUUAGGGUCCGAGAAAGCAACUUGACAUGCCAAUCCUAAUAAGAAUUCCACUCUUUCUGGUCAUGUCAGAAACCACCUCUUGGAAAGCAGAUCGAAAGCCAAUCGUUUCAGAAGAUGAUGACCCUCUUGUGCUCCUACAUUCCUGCUAGUUGGUGGAUGAAGAAUAGGAGAGAACUUGCUUGAGUAGAAGAUAACCCGUGAGAAGGAUGUUUUGUAGCACUUUCUCAUACAAAAGGAAAAGGCGUCACGACCAAAGAUAGGAAAAGGCUUUUCAUUGCUCUGUCGCGCCACCCCUCCUCCCAGAGCCGGUUCUUAUCCAUAUAUUUUUCAGCUAAAAGAUAUGGUAUAUAUAUCAAUGAAAGCUGGCGCCUUUGGUUCUUGGUACGACUGGUACUUUUUCUCAUUUAUCGGUCUAGUUGGAAAAAUUUCCCCUCAAAGAGCAAGUUUUUCUUAUAUAUUAUGUUGCGCCCUUGCCCUUAACCUUCCUUUCUCUUCUAUAAAAAGGCUGGACGUCAAAUGUAACUGAUGCUUAUAUUCUAAAUAUGACAAGCAAGAAACCUACUAUUGCCGUAAACAAAAAUCCAAACAUUAGUAACUGACAGAGCUUUCCUAUUCUAACUAUUUCCCUAUAAACCAUGAUUGAUAUACCAAUCAAAAAAGACUUCUGAAACUAAACUAUUCUAUUGAUUUAUGCUCGUGCUUCUUCGUUUGUUUUUGUAUGCAGAAGGAUGUCUAGGAGGAACAGAUCACUGAGGUUAAGGAUGAGAAGGUGAAAAGUGAAGAUAGAGAAUAGAUGCCAUGAACAAGUGUAUCAAUUCAAGAGUUAAGGAAUACUAUUGGGAAGAUUGGGCAUUGGGUUCAUCUUGUUAUUGACCAUCCCUUUUCAACACAUAUCUUUUAGUAUACGUCUUUUUUAGUUGCUUAAAGAUUUCAGAUAUUGCUUUUUCUGUUACAGGAAGUGUUGCGUUCCCCUUUAGGGUGUUUGUCAGUGGCGUCACCCAAUAGGGUGUGUGCCCGAAAGAGAGAAGAAAAACAUGUUGCUUGCUAUUUCUGGUUGAAGAGCUAUUUUUUCCUAUCGAACAGGAAUUCCGAGGGAUGUUUUUUGUUGUCGAUUUGUAGCAAUAGAAAGAUAAUGGAAGUGAUUGAAUAAGUUGGGUCAUGAGAAUGGAAGUUGGGUCAUGUUGAUACUAGAUCCAUGUCUUGAUUAUUCGACUUUUCCAUUCCAAUGCACAAUACUAUGCAUUCCAUUCCAAAGAGCGGUUUCGGUGGGUUGAUACGAUUUCCACUUUGACGGUCCUAAGUUGGCAUUCUUUGCAGAUAACUUCCAUCUCGCCAUAGACGAAAAGUACCCAAUUUCAUGCCAAGAGACCAUGUAAGGGCUGUACGACCCAUCCAUAUGAUAAAAAGACUCACAAGCCUAAGAGCAAUUCCUUCCUUCCCUAACAUUAAUUAAGGACUGGCUUGCUUCGAGAGAAAGGAAAUCUGAAUUCCAUAGUCGUCUUCCUCACGAGCUGGAACAACUAAAGGUGUAGGUUGGAAACAUACUUUUUUCCGUUGGAUUGUGCUCCAGAGAAUGGAAUAGUAACACGUGCUCCCAAUAGGCGGCAUUAGUUUAUGGUUCGAAAGCACGAGUCACUCCAUCCAGCUAUACUUGCAUUGAUAUAGACGAUUUAAGCCUUUGAAUUUACUUACUAUAAAACAAGCUAUGUUCUCCUAUAUAUUUCCUUGGGCUCGCUUUACAAAAGAAAUACAAACUACUCCUCUUGAAGUGGUCAGAGCAAAGUACUAAUAGGCACAGAAACAGCAGGAAUAUCUUUCAUUCAUUUCAUCUGUAUGGUAUGACACGACCUCUUUUUGCUCCCCAUUUCGUUGGAACUGAGGCCUCUGUCUACCGGCCCGAAAGGAGGGUCUCAUGCUUGUAAACUAGCAUAUAUCCUGCACAGAAUGAACCUUCCUUCAGUCACAACGAGAAGCACUAUCGGGGUCUGAACGAAUAGAAAACACAAUCAACACUUCAUAUCAAAGUCAACCAACGUUUAUCAUAUAGAGCAGAAUCUUCAUUCUAAUUUGAUUAGCCAACCCUCCCUCAAGUCGUAUGCUUUCUGAUCACUCUCCUAUGCUGGUUACUUUUCUUUCAAACGUUACGUCAUUGCAGGUCCUCGCCCUUCAGGUUGAAGGAGAUGUGUACUCGACUUCCUUUAAGUAAGUGGUGGCCCAUAAUAGUAGAGAUGUAUAACAACAGUUGCUUAACCAAAGGGAUAGACUUGAACUCUUCCACACCCCCUUGCCAGAGGUUUUAAGAGAACAACCUUUUGGGGAUACCAAUUCCACCCAUUCGCAGCAAAGGAACUAGCACUUUCUUAAGCUUUCCAUCGUUCUUGCUUAUUCCCCUUACUUACCCAAUGAAAGAUAUAGAUUGGAAAUUGGAAGAUGGCCGUCCAUAGUUAUCUUGUUGAAAAUACCCUCCCUUACUCAUCAAAACGUUGGAAGCGACUUGAGAUAUCUUUUGGGAAGAGAGAAUAACUAUAGAUGCUCGAUAUGCAUAUUGAUCAAUCGAUCUCCGCGUCCUGCCAGUUCGCUAAGUAGACUCACUCUACCGAGGGGCAGAAGAAGAUCAAGCCGAUAAGGGGAAGCGCUGAGAAAAAUCUCUCUCUUUUCUAAAUAUAAGAGCACGCUUUAUCUCUAUGCACACAGAAAAAGGGGAUCUUGUGAUGAUGGAAAUGGUACGUAUGUGGACCACUUUGGCUCCGCCCAAAAGCCCCUGAGCCGACUAUCUCCUGGCACAGCUAAAGCAUUUCCUCGCCGGAGGCCUGCUCAAAGCUAACUUGAAUCUGAACAGCUUGUUGCUUCUCCGAAACCUUCACCAGCUUGUGUAUCCUUGUAAGGUCGCGGACCCGGCGUAAUAAUGAGAAACGUGAGUCUAGCAUGACAUAAACCCAAACCCCGGCACUUUUGAUACUUCUCAUCUCAGGACAAGUCACAGAAGAGGUAAGGCGCUAUAGCCAAUGAAGGAACGGGAAAGAAGAAUCAGUGGAAUUGACCAAUAAUUUAUACCAUUACGACUUUGAAUAAUCGCUAGUAGCUAACACCAAUGGAAUAUUUUUGGACCCUAAGGCUCAUGUUGACUCUGUCCUUUAUUGAAUAGCCAAGUCAUCGUGAGUAAGCGUACGAUCCGUCACACAAACAUCCCUAAACCUCGGUAAGCCUUUAUAGACGAUGCAUUUCCCUUCUUAUCUAUCGUUGUAUUCAUCUAAGGCCACAGGCAGGUAUAUAUCUACGAGUGGUUUAUAUAAAGGAGGGUCCUGAUAAGAAUGCUGUUCGGAAAAGGCAAAAAAAGUUGUGUUGACUGAGGCUCAGAAUACGUUCUUGCACCACUCCUUUCAAACACACAUACCCUUUCUUCUCACAAAUGUGAAAUUCCGGAACUCUGUGUGUAAUUGUUGCAACAACGAUAGGGACUCUGCCGAGGGCUCCCCGGUAGGUUCUAGUCUCUCUUUAUACUGCGACUGGAGAAAGGCGUAAUGGGUUGUGUGGUAUGUUGAUCAAGGAGGUGUUGCAUUGGCUGUAGCUGCAAGAGGUCUUGAGACAGAAAUUAUGCCAUUAUUGCUUCUUUCAUUUAAAAGCUUGAGUCGGUUCUAUCUAGCUAAGUUAUUCAAUAAAUUAAAUCAAAGUGUGUGAUGCUUGUGAGUUUGGCAACUACUAUAUAUGAUAUUUAUAGCAAUACUUGAUACUUGAUUUAUGACUUCCUCUACCUAGACCCACACCUACUUUGAAUUUCACUUAACAGAGCGGCGGAUCCAAUAAAAAGGGACUACAUUCCAAUCCUACUUACCAGAAUAAAUAGUUGUAUGGCAUUCGAACCCCACCUUCAUGGUUGUAUUCUAAUUAGCUGGAAAUGUAUGACCUAAGCUUCUCAACAGGCAUUCACUCAACAGAGCACUUAAUGAGUUUUCUAAUGGCUUGAAAGACUACUAUGUUUCUUUUAAGCUUAGUUGCAAAACAAAAGCAAAGGGGAAUGCGGGUCCAUUUUGUAACGCUUACGGUGAUAAAGAAAAGUAACUCCCAUCCACGUGAGAGGCAUCGCUACCGGGCCGGGCCUCGAUUCCUUUCCUUGUCUCCAUUCUGAUUGAUUCGCUUCUUCGCGCAAGCACUUGGUUCGCCCCUUACUAUAACCAUCCCACUCAAUCUUUUACACCGAUAUUUCGUACUCUCUCGACCAGGUCAUCAUAAGAAAAUACUGCCAAAUCUUUCCGAAAUGAGAGAAGGAGGGAAGGCGCGCUACAACUAACUGCUGAAAAACGCAAGAUUAUCUCUAAGAAGCAACCCUAGUUUAAGUACUAGCGUCCCACCCCAACGUUCUUGUACUUCAAAAUACUCUCCCCCGCUUGCUGCUCACCUCAGCCAGACGUGGCUUAUGUAGUGGUCGGCAUUCCUACGUGCUCCGACUGAUCCCCACUGGAGAUUAUAUGAGGGGUCUUGGAAACUGUCGUGACACUUUGGUGACGAAGGUCACCGGGGUGACUAUGGAAGGAUUCCGUGGUAGUCUCUGACUCCCUCCAACUCAAUCAAUAUCAAGAACAUGUUGUGAGCAUGGGGUUUGGUUAGGCUUGGUUGAGUUUGUAAGAAAUUAUAGUAGGUUGAGGGGCUUCAUUGAUUAGUAAACCUACGGUGCUGGUAAGGUUGGGACCGUGGUCAUCCGUCUCCGCUUUGCCGGCCGAUAAGAUCACUGAGAUUGACCAGCUAGCUGGGUAGGUUUGGCUAUUCCUUUCUAUUGAAAAGGAGUUAGUUGUCUGCGCGAGUCACCUUCCUUAGGCUCCGAGUCACCUUCUUCUAAGCUCCGCUGGACGACACGGCAUUCUCGUUCUAUAGGCCGACCGUACUUGUGAUGGUUCCCCAGGAUCCAAUAAAUCUACUUAGGUCUACGUUGCCGCGAUAUUGUUCUAUGGAAGCGGGUGGGGUAAUUUUUAGAAGUUCGGCCCGGUUUUUCAUUAAAAAAUCAAAAAGGGGGGAGGGAUUGACCUUUCUAACGCAUAUUCUGUCGUACCGGCAUGGCCCCACCGAUUUGUUUUCGAUCGACGCAUCAAGCAGUCCAACCCGGUUCUACUUGACUAAGCCCUGUGCUCGUCCAAGGAGGGAGUUUGCUUUACCCAACUCCCCUUUUUGAUAACAAGGCAAAAACCUCCGACCCGACAUUCAUGAGUUCCGAAUGAAGAAUGAAGAGUGCCCUGCCCCUCUUUUUUUCCCUAAAUCUUGGAUUUGGAACUUGGUAAAGACCCACCCCUUGUUUAAGUCAGAAUGAGUCCCCGAGACAUUGGCUUCCGCCAACAGUGAACUAUUAAGGAUCGCAUCCCGCGCAUAUUCUACAUUAUAGCCUGCAACUAAUUCAGCUUCCACUUCUGGGAGAUCAGACGGAGCUCGAUUAGUUUCUGCUAGACGAGGAAUAAGGAACAUAACCAAUACUGGGAACAAGGGAAUACCAGACCAUAUCUGCUUUUGCGCCAUGACAAUCUCACUCGAAUUAUAGGGACCUACACAUAUUAGUACAGUAUAGCGGGGUCCCCAGCCAGAACCACACGUGCAAGUUUCCCUGCAUGUGGCUCGUCAGUGCUUUUAUCCGAGGCGCUGCCUGCGACUCUGCAUGGGAGAAGAGGGCUGAACUGCAAACUUUCGUGUUCAGAGCAUUGCAUUGUCUAAGGGAGUAGGGUGAGUAAGCUGCGCCUACCAAGCUAAGCUUUCGUCAAAAAGGCGUCACUGCUUCCUUUUCAGCGCCCGCCCUUUAUUUAGAUGUUGGGGCAAGGCAAGCCCAAGGAAAGUCUAGGUUGGCACUCCAUCUCGGCCGGCAUCCUGCUCUCGAGAGGGUGUGGUCCUUAAGCAAACUAGUCAUGUGCUGUGUUGCCCCAACGCAGGGGCAUUUGGUGAGGAGCUACGGUCCGGUGGUUGACAAGCCACUGAUCGGAGGCGACUGGACUGGAGUGCUUUCAUCAAAUGAUGCAUGUGGGCUGAGCCAUUCCCAUCCCAAGUGGUGGCCCGAUUCGGCCUGGCCUGGUUGGAAAGAGAUUCUAAAUCUCGAAUAUGCGCACCGAGAAUAGAUAUCUAUGUUAGCUAGCAGGGGCGGGCUUUCCCCUGGUAGUCCUGCUGCGUCCUCUGACAGCCCGUCUCGUCUCGUCUUUCUUUGGCUAUACUUGUAGCCAGCCAUAUUAGCUCCACAUUCCACCCUUUUUGAUUUCUAACGAAAAAGGCAGUCAUCAGUCAACCCCUUUCCUAUUUAGCUUUGCUUGCUGCCUAUUAUGAGAAUAGGUCCCGGUUCAAGCGGCCCGCCUUUCAUCAUCAUCUAUACCAGCUGCCACGCACGAUCCCAUAGGAACGAUUUCAUCGCCCUAAGAAGCAGAAUGAGCCAUCACCUACAACCCUUUCCUCUGCCGGGGACUUUCACGAAAUGAAAACGGGCGGCAUCAUCAUAUGCUCGACAUUAGUUGCCCUGGUGUAUAUCCCGGAGUACUCCUAUGGCCGAUCUGUCACCCAUACAUGAAGGCCUUGGCCCCGUCCCGUGUGGAGAAUGCCCCCCUUACGGCACGGCUUAGUCUGUUAUUUUAUUUUUUCAGAGUGGAUUUGGACCGCCACUUCUCUGAAAGCGUGGUUCUUGCCUCCCUCUCUCCUCCCUCCUUGGAGCUCGUCCAUUCGUUGGGUGAUCCCUUGCUCUCACAUUCGAGUGUUUGCUCGUCGUUUAGGCUGGUGAGUGACAUUUUUGCUCAUUGCAGUCGCCUCUGGGGUUCUUCGCACCUGGGUAGUACCAGGACCCUUGUGCCCCAGACUGCACUGCCCGCCCUAUGACCCAAAACUCAAAAUGAGCCUUGCGACGAGACGCGGAUAUUCCUCAUGCUGCGGUUCCCUCCAGUCCAUUCCCAGGUUGGGUUAGGGGAAGAUCCGAGCGAUUGCCUUCACGGAUCCAAACGUGCUCGCAAGGCGCACAAUAAGAAUAAUACCAAUAGAGACUUCAUAAGGGACCAUUUGAGCUGCAGAUCAUAAUGAUCCUAGAAAGUCAUAUUUCGAAUAUAUAGGACGUUCCCAACAAUCCACGAGAAUAUCAUACCCAACUAUGAACCGUACGAGCACAUCCUCUGUCACCCCCAUCACGCUUACGGCUCUAUACCCCAACCCAACUUGCUCUGGCCCUGGGUCCUCCAGCAUCUCUUCCUCGGUAAGCAGACCAUGGAAGCUGGGGAGUAUCCGCUUGGGACUGAUAGAAAACAACAUAUCUUUUCCCUCAUGAGCCCUAUAAAAAUCUAGUGGAAGUCCGGUCGCGUCAGAGACAUCUUUAUCUGAUUUUGAGGCUUUGUCGUCCGGCUCCUCCAAAAUUAUGUUAGGAUCGGCUGGCUCAUCCUCAUCAUCCGAAAAGAAAACAGAGACAAAAAAGAUUUGUUUCAAUGAUAUAUCUAAUCAGACUGAAAUUGAUGUUGAAGACACAAUCGUUCACAUAAUUUGAAGCAGGCAGGAAGGGCGCGGAAGCUACCGUUUAACGAAUGCAAUGCAAGUAAGGUAGCUUGCUUACUCUCCAUCUAGCGUGCAUUGGCGGCAAGGAACGAGGCAUUGGAAAGACUAGACCAUACACAUUAAUUAGUACAAGAAAGAGGCUUUCGGGAAGCGACUAGUCGCUUCUGGCGAAGCUUAACAAAGGCCGACUACUACAUAGAGACAACUACUACCAGUCAUGAGUGAUAGUGAAGCCGUCAGAGGCAGAAGCUGUCGCUUGACGGAUGAAGCCGAGCCGAUACGAUAGACGAGCGAAGUGAGCGAGACCAAGACGGGCCAGACGUGGAGUGGUGAAGGGGGCCUAGUAUACGUAUACGUGAUUAGUAAGCGGUUCAAGACAUCGAACGAAAAAUCAAGUGAACUAAUGAACAGUGUGAUUGAUCAGACAAGUACCAAGGAGCAAGAAAACGUAUGCGCUUUAGCAAGGGAUGAGCGCGAAAUCCGUUGCUUGUUCUUUUGGUAGCCUUCUUUCAUUUCCGAAUUUGCUUGCGAGCAGUCCUUGCAUUAGUAUGAGUUCAUUGACCACGUAAGGGCGAUCCAUCUUGAUGACGAAUUCCACGAUAACGAGAAAUAGAAAUUAAUCGUUCGAUGUCUGCUCGUUCUCCCCUCUUCAAUUCCCAAUGAACAACAUGAUCUUGAGCUAUCAUUUGUUCAAUUUGUUUGAUCUGAUACUUAGUUAACUCAUUCAUCUUGAUGUUCCCACUGAUACCUAAUCGAUAACGAAGCUGAAUGGCUUUUUUCGGUCCAAUUCCAUCCAUUUUUGUUGAGGCAAUUCUUACUUGUUCAUCGGGAAGUGAUCUAGCUCCUGAGAUAUAUAACAUUCUUUAUCCUUAUCUUUUCCUGGUCUUCUCGGUUGGAAUAUACAAUCUACACCUCUCCAAACACAAACGCAAUAUCUUGAGUACUCGUAACCAUGUUCAGUGCUGCAAAAGCGCAGCUGUAGCCCCCUAGAAUCUUCGGCUCCUCGUUUUUAUUCAAUUAUGAAAUGACUCAUUUUGAUGGAGAUUUGUAGCAUCAUUCAAGUAAAUACAAAUUGAGAUCGUAGGAACAUGAGCUUGCGAUAUAGCUACACCUAAUUCCAGACCAGUUAAUGCUAGAACUAUAAAUAAGGGACCAAGAUCUCCUAUGAAAUAGAAAAUAUUAUUCAGAAAUAGCAUAGUCCAAGCAAACCCACUUAAAAUCUUUACUAAACUAUGACCGGCCAUCAUAUUAGCAAAUAAACGUAUUCCUAAUCUUAAUGCACGAAAACAAUAAGAGAUUAGCUCAAGGAGUACUAAGAAAGGUGCUAACAGCAGUGGGACUCCCGCAGGUAAUAAGAAGCUAAAAAAAUGAAGCCCACGUCUUUGAAAUCCAAUGAUCGUAAUGCCUAUAAAAAUGGAAAAUGAAAGAGCCAAAGUAAUGAGAAAAUGACUUGUCACUGCGAAGCUAAAGGGUAUCAUACCCUGGGGAUUACGAAAUAACGAAAAAGUAAAAGUGACCGAGAUGCGAGGGAAAAACUUUUGUUUCACAUUUCUGGAAAGACCACCUAUUUGUUCGUUUACCAAGUUCAGCACGAAAUCAUAAAUAAGCUCGACCAAGGAUUGCCAUGCAUUUGGCACUGACUUUCCACCUCCCUUUCUCGUAACAACAAAAAAAAGAAAAACGACCAAAACGACAGUGAGCAGCAUAUACAAGACUGCAUUUGUAAAUGAUAAAUAAAAGUUGCCCACAUGAAGAUCAAUUAUUGGGAUAAUGGCAAAUUGAUCCAAUGGGGUUUCCAAAAAAAGCGGAUUCGGAGCACUUACUGGGCUACCCGGCUGUAAGUCUUCGGCCUUCCAUAUUUCUUUAGAAAGAUGAACCAUGCCUCUGUUCCAAGUGAAGCUUUCGUGCCCCUUGAAUGUAAAUCUAUGAAAGUCUCCCUUAGAAUCCUGGGAGAAUCCGGGCCCAGAAACUGGUCACAAAACUCGGUCACAUUGUAUGACGCUGGCAAAACCAAUUUAGCCUGUUGUAUGUAUGAUUCUAUCAUUUUUGUGAUUUCUGAAAACAAAGCGUCUCUAUUUUCGGGAUCUAUUCCAUAUAUUUGGAACAGGAGGUCCCUAUCUUUCAAGGUAGGUGUCUCCACCCCCUCCAAAAUCUGGUUCACAAGCUGCAGAUCCAGUGUAGGAUGGAAAAAAUCUCUAAUGAAAGAAUGGACGUGAGAGACGCUUUGUACAAUUUUUAUUGUUAAAUCGAAAUUUUCCAUCUCCAGGUAACUCCAUCUUUUUUAGCUCUGCUCCCGAAAAGAGAAAGGAAAGGAGACUGGGAUAGGGGUUGUCCUUGGUUUUCCCAAGGAAAGCCUGAUUUAGCAUGUAACGUGAACAUGAGCGGACACCCACACAAUCUCGAUUUGAAGAAAAAGUACCAUACCAUUGUCGUUUUUAGGGCGAAAAAUAAUAGGUCAUCUUUGUCAAUUGAUAACUGAGUGAGAGAAGACAAUCGCGUUCUUAAAGCGGUCGGUUCGCCGGAUUCAUAACCUUCCCCUAUUGGCCGGCUGCCCGUGAAACACAUAGGCUCCUAUCGCAUUUAUCGAUCGAGAAUGGUCUCAUCACAGAAACACUUUCUAUAUGUUAUUUCAAGAUUUGAAGAAGCAAGCAAGUUUAUAGGGCAUAUAGUUGUUUUUUUGUAGGGCGAGCCAAGAUCUUAUCUUAUUUGCAGGUCGUAUAGAUGAAAUGAUUGGAAAAAUCAUAUAGAAUUUGGAUGUGCGUAGUGUCUUACGGGACUGGCUCACAAUACAACAAUUAUCGCUACUGAUUCCAGAUAGAAUGUUGAUACCGUUGGAAAAGCACUUCUUUCUAUGUAUAGGGCACUGAACUAAAAAAAGUGUCCUUUCUCGAUACAUAACAUUGUAUAAGUCAACCCAAGUCACUUCUUCAUCUUCGGGAAUCUGGUAAGGUACUUUUGGAACACCAAUGGGCAUAUUAGAUUAAUAUUAUUAUAUUUCAGUAACUACACUUUAAUAUAUAAACAUAAGAAUGGAAGAGAAAGAAAGAACCUGAGAAGAGCUUAGUUGGAACUCUUUACCGGGUUCAUAGUGGCUAUGCUCCCCUCUCUCUGUCUCAGUCCCAGCCAACGGCAUAGCAACACCUACUCUUCCUUCUGAUGCAGCCUUCCUGGAUCCAUAAUUUGUCUUCCUCGUUUAUUGAUUGCUUGCAAUCGCCACAACACCAUUUAGUGAGCGUCAUAGAAUCCUCAAGGCGUGAAGUAGAAGUUCUUCGAACCUUGAUUGUGUGUGUUCGUGCCCACUCCAAUAGAGCAUUUGGCCCUAUGAGCUUUGACUACGAAAGCUACCUAUGUCAAUCAGUAUAGCCACUAGAGGGAUUGGAACAGGUAUAUUCCUUCUCAGAUAGUACUUUAAGACAAACACGGUUCACAAGGUGGAUUUUCUAUCUAUUAGUUGACUACGGAGCUUCCUCAUCCCGACAUAUCUAUAUGUGAAAAGCUCUCCGCCAGAAUCUUCGUAGUAGUAAGUCGUGGGUUACAAGUUGUCCCUUCCUCAAACCACCCCGCAAUAGAUAUAGGGUUUACCAACCUCAGGCAUGGACAUAGACACCAGAUCAUUUUGAUCGAGGACCCAUUUUUGGAAUAAAAAGGAUAAAGACCAGAAGUAGUCCAAUCGGAAGGUCGUGCUUUAGAGAAAGACUUGUGUUCUAUAGGAACAGCUGCCUAUGUUCACCUGGUUGCCCUGCCUAUCGCAGAACCGCUGUGAAGCAUCCAUUCUAUUCAAUUAGAAAUAGCAUCUAUAACUAGUAGUAGACGGAGAAUGUUCAGGCCUAGUACUAAACUUUAGCAUUAAAGCCAGAGUCCUUCUUUUCAUGAAUGUUCAGGAAGAAGAUAAUCCCUAAGUUAGAAUUGAAUUCCAUCCCAUUUCCUAAAGAAAGAGAUUUCCAAUAUACAUGAAUCACGAAAGAAACAAUGUUGUAACUUGCUUCAUCCAGCAUUCUAAGUAAUCAAUGAGAUUUUCUUCCUCGAGAACAAAAAGCUACACGAGGAGAGCCUUGUUUAUUGAUAUGUUACUAAAAGACCAGAGGUGAUGGCCUCUGAAUUGCAGGGUAUGGAAAGUGGGUGUUAAUCAACAAGAUUGUCUACAUUUGCAGAAACCACUACUGGAAUAAAGUUAGAUCUUUAUUUCAUUUCAAGGAAAAGUUUCGGGGUUUAGCCACCACUCAGACAGUAGUGAAAAAUAAAACUAACUCUAGGCGAAAGUGCACGGAGGAUCUGUGAUUCCUCCUACCUUAUGAGCCCUUACGAAAUGACAUUUUGAAUGAUGGACAAAUCAUGGGUGUCGGCGGUCUAGUCAGAGCAUUUUGGAGCGCCUAAGCGGGCAAAGUAGGUUGACCCGUACUGAGGGGGAGGUAACAAAUGGGAAAUUGAACACCAUGGGGCACAAACGAAUCGCCAGUAACGACCUGUAUAUAUCAGGCAAGAGGUGCUACUCCGACCCGGAAUCCUGCAUGAUGGUUGGUCACUGAGGGAGUCCUGGAUUAGGGGGUAUCCGGACAGCCGGACUAUAUACUUUGGCCAGACUGUUGGGGCCUGAAGAUACAAGAAUCAAGACUCUGUCUCGUGUCCGGAUGGGACUCUCCUUUGCGUGGAAGACAAGCUUGGCGAUCCGGAUAUUAUAUUUCCUUCUUUGUAAUCGACUCCGUGUAAACCAUAGCCCUCUCCGGUGUCUAUAUAAACCGGAGAGGUUGGUCCUUAGAAGACCGAUCACGAUCACAAUCAUAAUCAUCAUAGUCUAGCUUCUAGGGUUUAGCCUCCACGAUCUCGUGGUAGAUCUACUCUUGCACUACUCAUAUCAUCAAUAUCAAUCAAGCAGGAAGUAGGGUUUUACCUCCAUCGAGAGGGCCCGAACCUGGGUAAACAUUGUGUCCCUUGCUUCCUGUUACCAUCAGCCUAAGACGCACAGAUCGGGACCCCCUACCCGAGAUCCGCCGAUUUUGACACCGACAUUGGUGCUUUCAUUGAGAGUUCGUCUGUGUCGUCGCUGCAAGGCCUGAUGGCUCCUUCGAUCGUCAACAACGCGGUCCAGGGUGAUACUUUUCUCCCCAGACAGAUCUUCGUGUUCGGCGGCUUCGCACUGCGGGCCAAUUCGCUUGGCCAACUGGAGCAGAUCGACAGCUACGCCCCUGGCCACCAGGUCAGGUUCGAAAACCUGAACUACACGGCUGAUAUCCGCGGAGACUUGAUCUUCAACGGAUUCGGGCCUGUGCCAGGAGCGCCAAACGGUCACGAUGAGCACGGCUUAGACCUGUUGUCGGACAAUGCUCGGGAUGUCGUCCCUGCGGUAGACUCAUACCUAAAUCCGGAGCAGACUGCAUUGCCUAAGGACGGAUGGAUAGACUCCGCCCCGCAGGCCACACACUCAUCAGCGGUAGAGCCGAACACAGGCCUCGCCCCAAAGAAGCCUGUGACAUCGGACCCCCGGACUCGUAUCCGGCUGUAGGUUCCAGUCCGCGCUCUCCUGAGCCUGCCGAACCUGGUUGGGCUCCUGUAAUGGAGUUUACCGCAGCGGAUAUCUUCCAACACUCGCCCCUUGUUGACGUGUUGAACUCAUUAAAGUCUCUCUCUUUGUCAGGAGGCUCGUGGCUAAACUAUGUCCAGCUCGAGUGGGAAGCAGGCGACGAAGUAAAUCGUUGCCCACCCACCACCCACUUCAUUGCCACGGUCGAUGAUCUAACCGACGUGCUUGACUUUGACUCCGAUGACAUCGACGGUAUAAUGGAGGUAAAACCCUACUCCUGCUUGAUUAUAUUCGAGGGUAUAGGGGUUACAAGAGUUGAUCUACCACCAAAUCGAUUCGGCUAACCCUAGAUAGCUAGCCUAGCAAUGUUGUGAUCCUGCCUCUGAUCUAACCCUCCGGUUUAUAUAGACACUGGAAGGGCUUAGGGUUGUACAAAGUUGGUUUUACAGAAAGGAAUAAUAUAUCCGGAAACCUAUACUUGCCAUCCACGCAUGUGAGAGUCUCCACCGGACACGAGGGAUAAUCUUCUAUCUUGUAUCUUGACGGCCCAUCAGUCUGGCCCACAUCAAUAGACCGAACACCCGAGGACCCCCUAAUCCAGGACUCCCACAAUAGCCCCUGAACCACUCUUCAAUGAUGAUGUAUUCGGCGCUCAGAUUGUCUUCGACAUUGCAAGGCAGGUUCCUUUAAAGAAUACACAUCAGCUUUCCUCUGCAAAAAGAAAUGUAUUUGGCUUUUCGCAAUAAACACAACACUUAGCCACGAAGGCAGGAUAUAUAAAAAAUGAGAACAACGUCUUUUAUGGACAACUCUUUCAACGAAGCGUCAGACUCGACCCCUCAUCAUUUUGAACCGUUUUCACACCCCGUGUUCCGUGCUUCGAGGUCACACCUCAUUGGCACAUCCUGUCAAAACAGAGAUCGUGUCCACUUAAUACGGGAUUGCAUAUCAAUGAUAUUUGGGUAAUCCAAUCAUUUGCAGCGCAGGCAUCCAUCGGGAACAGGUGAGAUUCAAGGCUCGAGUGGGGGCAGUUGGUAUUUUUACUGCCUAUAAGAGACCAAGGGACCCCCACUUUCCUCCACACGCCUUCACAUCUCCUCAGUCUUCCAAUCUCCCAAGCCUUUCUGCGCUCGCAAAAUCUCCAUCUUUCUCACCACCACCACCACCUACUCCGACCACGGCCGGAGCUGGCUCCAAAGGCAAGUGGGAGGCCUCCUCCGUGAUGGAGGAGAACAUAGUAGAUCUUCAGAGUGCGGGGGUACCUCGCCGCUGAUAUCAAGCACCGGCUUCCCUCUGAAGGUCAAGUCCUUCCCACUCCGGAGCUCGGUGAACGGGUUGUCUUCCUUCCCCAUUUCCUUAGAGGGUUAGGUUUCCCACUUCACCCUUUCGUCCGUGGACUUAUGUACUACUACAGGCUAGAUUUCCACGAUUUAGCCCCAAACUCAUAUCUCCACAUAUCAGCGUUCAUAGUCGUGUGUGAGGCCCUCCUCCAUGUUCGGCCACACUUCGGCUUAUGGCUCAAGGUCUUCAACGUGAAGCCGAAGGUGGUCGAUGGGCAGCACGCGGACUGCGGCAGGGCUAUGAUUAGCAAGUUGCCAAACACCACUUGGCCCAAGGGGGCCUUCGUGGAGACCAUGAAGAUCUGGCAAAAGAAGUGGUUCUACAUCACCGAGCCACGCCACCCCAACUGGGUGGCCAUUCCGGAGUUUAGAUCCGGACCCCCGUGAGGCUCACUUCCUGGAACGAGAAGGGCAUCAACUGGGGGUCCCAGACGAAGGUGUUGGCACUGCAAACAUGCAUCACCAACAUGCUGGGAAAGAACGUUGGUCUAACCAACGUGAUACAGAUCAUGCUUUUCCGCCGCAUUCUCCCCUGCCAGCGCCGGGCUACCCCCAUGUGGGAAUUCAAGCAGGAGAAUCCGCGGAUGCUACAACACUUCUUUGGCACUAUGCACGAGGGGAUGUGGAAGCUGCUUUUUAAGGCGCAGAAGAGCAGCUGGCCCAUGGAGACCGAAGAUAUUGGCAUCAACAUCACGUAUCCGGUCUCUCUAGUAAGUAUUUGAUUUCUCCGAAGACAUAUCUAGUCACAUGUAUAUACACACGUAUUCGGUCUAUGUCGAACUCAUCAACCCAUCUUUUGUCGCAGGGUUGGACCAAGAAGUCAGAGCGGAUCAAGUGUCCGGCUCCAUUGCCCGAAAACCCAGUCACUCCUCAGCUGGAGAAGAUGCUAGUUCCGGCGCCUUAUUAGUCGCCAGAGAAUAAGGCCAAGAAGAAGAGCAAGGGGUCCAAGAAUGGACCCUGCUGCAAGGGCCCUCCGGCAACAGUGUCCGGAGAGGCUGAGCCCGUCUCCUCCCGCGAGGAAGACGAGGACGAAGAAGAGGAGGAGGAGGAGGAUGUGAAGGUGGAGAGUGACUCCCCCUCAGGACGAGGAGGGGGGAAAGGACGGCCCCCAAGGACCUAGAGGGGGCGACACCGAAGAAAGGGCGAGUGGUCCUCUUGGACAGUUCGGACACAGCGUCUGAACACGGUCUGGGGCGGGCCCAAAGGGAGAAACCCCUGGCCGAGACGUAAGUAUUAGAAACUCACUUGUUCAGUUAUCUAUUUAAUCUAACUUCAUCAUGCUCAUCCUCCUUUAUACUUUUUAGCCCUUCGCGCGAGAUCCCGAUCCCCUCUUCUUCAACAGGGAACUCUUUAGCCACUAGGGAGACGGGGAGUGAUGGACCAUCUCACACCCUCUCUCCCCAUGCCAUGGAGGACACCAAGGUGUCGUCCCAAAGGCAAUCUCCUGUCCGGGGAGGGGUGGAUGAGACAAUUCGGAAGUCGCCCGAGGACAACACCUCGGGCGUUGUAGAGCGGGGUACGGCGAUCCCCACAACCAUUGAGGGUGGAGGACCUCAACAGUCCAGACCCUCGCCGAACACCAUCCCGGAGACCAGUACGACACCGGGUUUGGAUCAGCAUCCCCCUUCGAAGGAGGGCAGAGGAGCAAGAUCUCCGUCGGCGGCCUCUGUCAAUCCGGAGGCCGCUGACAGUAUGCGGGAGGCACUGGAGCGUGCCUCCAUUGUAGAAGAACACCGCACCCUUAUGGGUGCGGCUAUGGAAAAGGUUCAGUACGCAAAGAGCGGGCUGACUGAAGCGUUCCACAGCCUACUAACAGGCUUCAAGGUAGGCGACAUAAUAUUUUUCAUAAGUAUUCUAUGUAUGUACAUGUGAGCCGAAGCCCAUGUGUAGACAGUAGCCCCUGAUACUCUGUCCGGAUUAAGACAAUCCGAACAGAGGAUCAUUAACAAGUAUGUCAUGCUCUGUUUUUUAUAUCUGACAGGCUUCGAAGCUGGCAGCUACUGCCCAGGCCACGGAAAUUGCCGAGCUCAAUCGGAAGCUCCGGCUGUCUGAUGAGGAACUCGACUGUACCAACAAACGGUUCGAAGAAACCCAAGGUGUGCAGUGUGUCAGUAUAUCCAGAAAUUAUGUUUAUGUGUAGACGGUUUGAAACUGACUAAGAAUGUUAUGAAUAUAUUCGCAGUUGGCACCGCCGAGGUCGAGUCUCUCAAGGGCGCCCUUGCCAAAGCCAAGAAGGAGGCAAAGGCGAACGAGGUGGCCGCGGACAAGGUGGACAAGUCUCUAGAGAAAGAGCAAACCACCCGCCGAAAACACGAGGCGCGGGUGGAGGAAAUAGAGCAGGAGCUCAAGGACGCCAUCGCAAGGUGUGAGUCCUUGGGGCAGAAGAGUUCGGAGCAGGCCUCCGAGCUCACCAAAGCUCUCGAGAGUCUGAAGGAGGCCUGGGUUGAUGCCCAGGGCGCUUGCCAGGAGAUACAAGAGGUGAAGCAGAUUGCGGCUGGUAAGGCCUUUAUCAUGCAGAGUAGAUAUAGUGUUAAGACGUAUAUUUUACUAACCAGGGUUUAUAGUUCUCCAGGCGCCUUUGCUGAUCUGCCGAGGAGCAUUUCGGAUGCCGCCGCAUUCUUUGAGCCGAAUAGGGGAGCUCAACGGAGAAGUUAUUCUGGUCGCAGUAUCUUGCGCCAGAACUUCCCGUGGCCCUGAGCGACCAACUGAAGCAGCUGUCCGAGCUGCACGGGGUGGCUGGACUGGCCAUGAAGGAUGUUAUAAUCCGCUUGUGGCCAGCCGAUCCCAUCCCGAAUAGUCACUUCGGACUCAUGCAGUGGCUAGUGGAGGCACUUCCUCGGAUCGAUGCCCUCAAGCGGUCGUCCUGCAUUGAGGGUGCUCGGAUGGCCUUUGCCCAUGUCAAGGUGCAGUGGGAAAAGAUGAAGGUCGCCGACAUUGCUACCGCAGGGCCACCUGAAGGGAAAGAGCACCGGCGGACGGAGAAUUACUUUGACGAGGUCCUCGAGGGAGCCCGCCUUGUGGAGGGGCAGUGUUUGAAGGAUGUCAUCUUUGAGUAGUUGAGUUCGGUUUGUAAGAGUCAUGUAAUGAACUCAUUGUGUAUGAUAUCUAUGAUAGUUUAUCCUCCUAUUUUGUUGUUUACAUGUCUGAAAGUUUACCAGUCGUCGGCUUCAUCCCCCAUGUAAAUAUUACAGGGGUGUUCGUGAUCGCAUGACCGCACUUAAUCCAAUGUCUUCGUCCAAUGUAGGAGGCUUCUUGCGAAAGUGAACUAGGCAAUCAGACUAUGCGGCUUUAGUACUUUCACUUAGCCAUAAGAGUCCAUUGGUGGCGCUAAGUACUAGCCCCUUGUUGCAUGAUCAGCGAGCCGGAGUACGACGCCUUUGCAACGCGGCUGGUCAAAAACCCAGCCCCUCGUAUGACACGGCAAUCGCGAGCGAUUCAUAAUGUAACACUAAGCCGCCGGAUCGCUGACCCGCUCUCGCCUAUCAUGACAGUCAGUUUUCGGCUUUCUCUACUGAGGUACUUGACCAGGCGAACUGGAAAUACAAUCGCAGUAGUUCUCCCUUUACUACCUUAGCCGAACUUGCAGAAUGUAAGGUGGUAAACACAGGAGCCGGGCAACCCAACUAUUGACCAAAAACAUGAUCCAGAGCAGAUGCAUAUAAUGCAAUAUCUAGGACGUCGAAGAGUUCCCUAUGGGUGUUCGGACUUAACAAUUUAGCGGGCUGAAUACAGCCCCUAGUAUGGAGACCGUGUCGACCCAUGUGUGUCAGUCAAACAUAAGGAAUAGCGCAGAUGACAAGGAAAAAAAUCAACAGCCAACCAAAAAGGUGGUAAUCAUCUAUGCCCUUUGUACCUUUAUUGAUAUGUUCGAUGACAGACAAUAUCGUUCAAUGCUAAGGUCAUAUUACAUGCCCAAAAAAGAGAAAAUUUUACAUAAGGGAAAGUCUAACACAGGGCCUAAAAAGCCAUGGUUCGGAAAAGAAACUCCAAUGAUGCCCUGCCGCACGUCUGUGCCUUUUCUCCUUAGUAGUGAGUCCUUUUAGAGGAGCAUUUGAUGGUUGGGGUAUGCUUAGCCUUAAAAGGAUCUCCUGUGACAACCAUCUUGUAGUAGGGCUCUUGAUGAACCUGUGUUAGAAGAAAAAGGGUAUAUGUGGUCCAUUUAUGGUCAAGCCGUAUAAUGGACCUAUUCUGCAGUGUGCCUCUGGCGUCGCCCAGGGUAUUUUUAGUGCGUAAUUAUGUAUGCACGGUACAUGAGCCGCAACCUGGAGGGGUGAUCGGUGGAGGCCGAACUGCUAAUCAGUGUUUGGAUCCUCUGUUUUAUGCGGGGCCCAAACUCGUUUGGAUACGUUGUUGGCUUUAUUGGCCUUUGAGCUGCUCGGCUUGGUUAGGCCGCUAUACACUUCGGCUGCAAGGGUCGCGGUGUGUUCUUCCGUACGGAGUGAGCGCUUCGUAUUGCCAUUGACUGUAAUAACGCCCCGAGAUCCAGGCAUCUUGAGCUUAAAGUAAGCAUAAUGCGGGACUACGUUAAAGCGGGCGAAGGCAGUUCGUCCGAGCAGCGCAUGGUAACCACUGUGGAAAGGGACGAUGUCGAAGAUUAACUCUUUGCUACGGAAGUUAUCUGGGGAGCCGAAUACUACCUCCAGUGUGAUUGAGUCUUUACAACGGGCCUCCACUCCUGGUAUCACACCUUUAAAGGUAGUGUUACUAGGCUUGAUUCGUGAUGGGUCAAUCCCCAUCUUUCGGACAGUAUCUUGAUAGAUCAAGUUGAGACUGCUUCCUCCAUCCAUAAGGACUCUAGUGAGGUGGUAUUCGUCGAUGAUUGGAUCAAGGACCAAGGCCGCCAAACCCCCGUGACCGAGACUAGUUGGGUGGUCCCUGCAAUCAAAAGUGAUCGGGCAGGCUGACCAUGGGUUAAACUUGGGGGCAACAGGCUCUACGGCAUAGGCGUCAUGUAAUGCACGUUUGUGCUCCCUUCUAGGGAUAUGAGUGAAAUAUAUCAUGUUCACUGUUUUCACCUCGGGAGAAAUUGUUUCUGACCCCCGGUGUUCGGCUGACGGGGCUCAUCAUCGUCUUCGCUUGGGGGCCCUUUUCCCUUGCGUUCGAUAUUUAACUUACCGGCCUAUUUGAAAACCCAACAGUUCUUGUUGGUAUGAUUUGCAGGCUUAUCGGGUGUGCCAUGAAUCUGACAGGGCCUCUCAAGGAUUUUAUCUAAGUUGGAUGCCCUGUCUUUGCCCUUAAAAGGUUUCUUCCGCUGACCGGACUUCGGACCACUGAAUCCGGCAUUGACUGGCGUAUCGUCUACAUCGUCGUUGUUGUUAUUCCUACAUUUGUUUUAUUGCGGCGAGGUUUACCGUUGCCGUCCCGCACCUCAGAGGUGCCGGGGUCACCUGAGCUGUUGCUUCUACGAGCCAACCAGUUAUCUUCACCCACACAGAAGCGGGUCAUAAGUGCCCUUAAGGUUGCCAUGGUCUUCAGCUUUUUCCUGCCCGAGGUGCCGGGCGAGCCAUUCAUCACGGAUGCUGUGCUUAAAGGCCGCUAAGGCUUCAGCGUCCGGACAGUCUAUGAUCUGGUUCUUUUUAGUUCAGAACCGACUCUAGAGCUUAUGAGCUGAUUCGCUUGGCUGCUGAAUUAUGUGACUCGGGUCGUCAACAUCCGGUGGCUGGACAUAAGUGCCCUAGAAGUUAGCCCUAAAGGCAUCUUCCAAGUCUUACCAGGUUCCAAUGGAGUUUUCUGGGAGGCUGUUUAGCCAUUGUCGUGUUGGUCCUUUCAGUUUUAGAGGGAGAAAUUUGAUGGCAUGGAGAUCAUCUCCUCGAGCCAUAUGAAUGUGGAGGAGGAAAUCUUCAAUCCAGACGGCUGGAUCCGUCAUUCCAUCAUAUGGUUUGAUGUUUAAGGGUUUAAACCCUUCCGGAAACUGAUGUUCCAUGACCUCAUCAGUGAAGCAUAGGGGGUGUGCGGCCCCUCUAUAUCGCGCAAUGUCACGACAGAGAACGGCGGACAUCUGAGUUCAGUACUGAUCCUGAACAUAGUAGCGGUCGUCAUGUCGGGCUUUAUAGCCAUUAUCUUGUGAUGGGCAUGACCCCUUGAACCGUAGAUUGAUCUGGUCUGACAAGCUUUAAUGGCUAGGUCACAUUGCAAAUCGUAUGUAUAUCCCGUGGCUGAAGUCUCCCUGCCUCUUCGGCGAGGGGGUGCAGGCUGGUAUUCAGCUUGGUAUGUCGUCUUAUCCCGUCCACGUGGUGGUCGGUCUGGUUGAUCUACCUGAGUAUAUUUCGACGGUACUGGUUCAAGGACUUCAUCGUCGAAUUGGGGCAGCAGCUUGCGCCUAGGGUAACUUUUGACAGGUCACUGUUGGCCGUAUUCCUCAACGGCCAGGACCUUAGUCCACCUCUCAUUCAGCGUAUCUUGCUCUUCUUUGAGCUGCUGGUGCUUCUUCUUCAGGCUCCGGGCUGUAGCAAUGAGCUGCCACUUAAAGCGUUCUUGGUCGAGGGGUUCUUCUGGGAUGAUGAAGUCUUCGUCACUGAGGCUAACCUCCUCUUCGGAUUCUGGCAUGUAGUUUUUGUCCUCUGCAUCUUCAUUGUUAGCGCGUCCAGGGUUGUGUUCACCUUCUUCCCACUCUCCUAUUCGGAUGUGGGCUCGAUAAGGUGUUCGGUAUCUUCAGCGCCGUCCGGAGUCUCAUUGUCUCUGGUGCUGGUAUUACUAUCCUUCACCCGGCGCGAUUGUGAGCGAUGCCGCUGACGUUGACGCUUUGGUGGCUUAUCGACGGGUCUAUCCUCAUCUGGGCUUGGGUUUUCCUCAUCGUUCUUCGGAGUGUCCACCAUGUACACAUCGUAAGUUGAGGUGGCCGUCCAACGCCCCGUAACGAGUGGGGCUUGGCUUGGUUCAUCUUCAGUGUCGUCGUCCAUGUCGUCGAUGUCCUCGAACGCAUAGUCCAACAUGUCGGUUAAGUCCUCGACAUUGGCUAUUAAGUGGGUGGUGGGUGGGGCAUAAAAUUCCCCUCCCUCAGCCCCAAGUCCAGGUUGGGUGCAGUUCGGAGGUAAAGCCUCCAUGAUGGCGAGAGACUGCAUCAGACCCAACGCUUCAUCUAAGAGCAGGAGCGAGACCAAAAACAGUGGGUCUGCCGCGCUGUGUUCGGCUUGGAGCGCCUGAUAGGACCCGCUAAGUGCAGACCUCGGCAGUUCAGAAUGGUUGCCCAGAGCCAAGUAGCCUGUGUCUGGGUCUUCGGUAGGAAGUUCGGUAAGCGGAAGAAGUCUGGCGGGGCUUACGCCCCCAUCUUCGGAUGAUGAGACCUGCCCCGGAUCUAAGGCCGAGGUGAGUGCUGGUGUUGACCCCUGGGCGAGAUCCGACAGGGGAUCCGAAGAGUCUUCUUGGAUGGGACAUAGAGUGGCGGCCGAGGUCGCAAACCCAUCGAAUACUAAGUCUCCUCAGAUGUCAGCAACAUAAUUUAGGUUUCCAAACCUGAUCGGGUGGCCGGGGGCGUAACUAUCGACUUGCUCGAGGCGGCUGAUCGAGUUGGCUCGAAGCACAGAGCGACCGAACACAAAAACCUGUCCAGGAAGGAAAAUCUCCCUGGACGCAACUUCACCAUUGACGAAGAAGUGAGCCAUUGAUCCUUUUGUCGACAAUGCAGUGGAGCUCUCAAUGAAAGCAUCAAUGUCGGUGUCAAAACCGGCAGAUGUCGGGUAGGGGGGCCCAAGUUGUACGUCUGAGGAUCAAUAGUAACAAUGGAGAAGGGACACAAUGUUUACCCAGGUUUGGGCCCUCUUAAUGGAGGUAAAACCCUACUCCUGUUUGAUUAUAUUCAAGGGUAUAGGGUUACAAGAGUUGAUCUACCACGAGAUCAAUUUGGCUAACCCUAGAUAGCUAGCCUAGCAAUGUUGUGAUACUGCCUCCGAUCUAACCCUCUGGUUUAUAUAGACACCGGAGGGGCUUAGGGUUGUACAAAGUCGGUUUUACAGAAAGGAAUAAUAUAUCCGGACACCUAUACUUUCCAUCCACGCAUUUGAGAGUCCCCACCAGACACGAGGGAUAAUCUUCUAUCUUGUAUCUUGACGGCCCAUCAGUCCGGCCCACAUCAAUAGACCAAACACCCGAGGACCCCCUAAUCCAGGACAACCAUAGUGGCACCGACUGCGUGAACUCGGUGAGAUCGAUUUUAGCAAAGAGCAAACAAAGAGUUGGUUAAGCAAAUUUGGUGUGUUCGAUCGCUCAUUUCGGUUAGACCGAAAUGUUACAAAAGGGAAACAGGGAGUUUGGAGGGCCAUCUCAGUGAGACCGAGAUCCGUAUCGAUGUGACUGAGGUGUUAGGGUUUCUGGUAGUGGCUAAGUCAAAUGAACUCAGUGGCGCCAGAUAGAAGAUUUCGGUGGGGCUGAGUUUGACUUUGGGUUUUGGACAAAUUUGGAAAUGAGAAAGUGGUUGAGUGCUUUGGAGCAAUAUCACUAGGCAUUUUGAGCAAGUAGACCAUUAAGCAACACCUCAUCCUCUUUUAGUAGUAUUGGAUUUCCUAUGGACUCAAUGUGAUCUUGGAUCACUAAAAUAUAAAUGAAGAGUCUUGAGCUUUUGCCAAUAUGUGUCCUUUGCAUUUUGAGGGGUCCGCAUCUUUAGUCCAUGCCAUGCCAUUCAUUGAACUUUCUGAAAUAUUAAACUUGAAUGGAUAUUAGUUCAAUGAGCUAUAUGUUGUUAUGAGUUGCCAAAACCAUCAGGGGGAUUAGUUGCACUUUCAAGCACCCAAAAAUUGUUUCUCCACAAACCAUCUUCCUACUUGAUCAAGUUUGGCAUGAUAAACAAAUGGCGCCAAGGGUUCAAACAUUUGCUUCGAGGCUCCUCGGGAAAGCACUCUCGACGAGAAAGAGGGCAAGCAUGUAUUCCAAACAUAUCAAAUAAUGUUGCUCUAGAUGUGGUAAUAAAGAAGAUUAAAUGCAUAUGUUUUUCUUAUGUCCUUUUUCUAAAGCGACAUGGUUUUGUUUUUCCUGGUCCAUUCGAACUGAAUUCUUUGCUGCUCAAUAAAGCUUCCUUACUGAUAUGAUUCAUGUCUUACUCACAUGCAUAUGGACAUCCACCAAUAAAACCGCUACUCUUUGUACCUUUUUGUGGUGUCUAUAGAAGCCUCGAAAUGACACUCUGUUUUGCAGGAAAGUUAGCACACCUUCACAGGUUUUUGAAGAAGCUAAUGCCAUUAUCAAUGAAACUAAGUCAGAGGUCUCUAGCUCCACUGAACAACACGAUAGAGUGCAAUUGACCAACAUUCAGGUACCUAAACACAUGCUAACAUACUGCAGGGAAUGCGAUCUUCUGUUAUGCCACAUGGGAGAAGCAAUAAGAUUCAAGGAAAAGUCAAGCAGGAUUAGGCGUAGUCAUCCAAUUUCAAGGGAAUCAACAUCUUCAACAUUUGUAUAUCUCGGUGCUCUCACUCCAGCAUCUUCACCACUCCAGGCAGAGACUUAUGAGCUUUUUCUAGCAAUCAAGCUAACCGAUAUUUUACAGGUUCAACAACCACACUUCUAUACGGAUUGCUUGGUGUUGGCUUCGGCAGCUGCAGCGAGGACGAUGUUUCAAGCUCCUAGACAUUGAGAGAACAGAUCGUAACUGGCAACAAUAAAUGCUUCUUCCUCCUUCCAUCAUAGUAACAUCAGUCCUUGAAAUUUCAAAGCUCAUCACCAAGCUCGUUUAGCACUGAGAAUACAGUCUACCUCUUUAGCUAUGCAGUGCUUAAGGCCAACUCCAGCGCACGACCCCAAACAGACGUCUGUUUUGCUCGGAUUCUAUCCGUUUGGGUAGGGUAAUGGGGUCAUGUCCGGGCAGUUUCUGGGAUGCGGUGGCCGUGCGCCCAACACACAGCUGCAUCCUGUCCGCAUCAUUUUUGAAAGGCCAAUAUAUGAAAGCACACCCAAGUUCAGGCCAACAACCCCAGUUCACGCCGGCAACACAGCCAGCAGCCACUACACAUCCUCGCCGGCACAGCCAGCGGCCACUACACGUCCUCGCCGGCACAGCCAGCGGCCACUACACGUCCUCGCCGGCAACACAGCCAGCGGCCGGCAAUAGAGCCAGCCUUCAAAAUGAAUAGUUUUGUCGCCGGCAACAAAGCCAGCGGCCGGCAACACAGCCAGCCCUCAAAAUGAGGUUUCUCGCCGGCACAUAGCCAGCGGCCGGCACCCAUGCCAGCCUCCAAAAGAAUGGCCAUGGCCGAACAGACGACCUAGUUCAGGUCAUCGGCGUCGAACAUCUCCUUCUGUCUGGCCUCGAAUCAGCUCCUCGUCUUCUCGCUCAUCUUGCUCAAGUCCACACUCAUGAUCGCUAGGGCCACCUCCUUUGCUUUGGUUGCGGCGUUGGUGGCCUCGAUGUUGAGCUACCUCUGCCUGGACAUGACGUUGGCGGCCUCGAUGUCGAGCUGCCUUUGCCGGGACGCCUCCUCCAUGUCGAUCUUCCUCUUCUUGGCCGCCUCCUUCAUCUCAAGCUUCUUCCUUUGAAGCUCUAGGUAUCUUCAUUUACUCGUCCUUGCUUUGUCGCUUUUUCUCGUCCCUCACAUCCUUUUGAGACAUCAUGUCAUGCAAAGUCUCAUGAAAGGCCAUGGAUGACGCUUCACGUAUGUCGUCCACCUUGGAGUUGGUCUUGCCCCUCGUCCUCUUUAAUGCCUCACCAUCUCCACCUUCGGCAAACGCGACCGCCUUCUUGCCUCUCUUCCUUUGAAGUUCAUGGUAUCGAUCUUUGAAGUUUGGGAAAUUGUUGAUGAGCGUCCAACAAUGCGUAAGAGUGAAUGGCUUGUCAUUGUGUCGGGCCUUGAAUGCUUCCAAAGAUUGAAAUGCCUACACCACAUGAUCAAUAACAAAUGAACAUGCAAACAUAUACAAGGCCGAAGUCUCACGGCCGUAGCAACGACGGGACUAGGAUGAGGAGAGCAUACCAAGUCCCGAAUGCUGAGACCACUCACGGGCCAUGCUUCAAUGCUCUCUAGUGCAGCGCAAUACUUGUUGCAAUCUUCUUGGAUGAACAACCACCUCUCUUGAAUCGAGGUGAUGCCACGAUUGCUCGUAAUUUGGUAGGGCUCAAACAUCUUUCUUUCAUGGAAUGUUUUGUGGACUCUCGUCCAAAAAAGAAGGCCUUUUUUUGCGUGCCGGUCCUUAGAUCUUGGCUAAUCUCCAUCCAACAUUGGCAAAUCAACUUGUCCUCGUCUUGUGAAUAUGAACCCGUGCGAAUGCUCUUCUUCCUCUUUUGUGCUUCCGCUCUUUGGGUGAGCUCGUCGAUGAACAAUGGCUCGCCCGAAAUAUCAAUAUCAAUGCCAUCGUCUUCAUCACCAUCACCUUCGGAAUAGAUGUCAUCGUCUUCAUACCACGAGUCAUCAUGGCCGUAGUUCGCAUGGUCGUGGGCCUCUUCAUCCGCAACGUAUUGGGCGCGGCCAUCCUGACUUUGGGUCUCGUCGGGAUCGUAGGCACCGCCAUGCCCACCCUCGUAGAUCACAUGCUCCAUGAACUGGUUGUAGAAGGGGUCGUCGACCGUUGACGCUGGUGUUGCCAUUUCGUCGAACAGGACGCGGGGGGACUGCAUGGUGCCCGUAAACAGUGGUUGUGCUUGCUUUCUUUGCAUCUCGACGGCCGGCCGGCCGCCGUCGCUGGACCCUGGCGUGACGUUGAGGUCGAUGAAGGCCGAGGGGCGCGGGGUGGACGGCACGAUCACGCCAACGUCCGGCGAGCCCGAAAAACGGGUUUGGCCAUCGUGCCUUGGCGGGGGAAAGCCGGGCAACAUAGGCGUGGUCCGCGACGUCGGCGACGCACAGUGUUGAGGCCUGGCGACCGAUGAGCCUAUGCUCGCCGGGCUGACGGCCGCACCAGAGAAACCCGUCGGACGACAAAGGCCAAGCAUUAGGAGGGCGUGCCCUUUGUUGAUGAUGGCCUCCUUCUCGUCGACCUCGGCCUUGCGCCGCGAGGCCUCCACUGCAUUGCACUCGGCGGCGAACUUGGCCGCGACGGUCUUGCCCUUGACGGCCGCCCUCCGGUUCCUCCUCUUGGCCGAUUCCGCGUCCAUCUUAGCGAGCUCCUCUAGCGUGCAUUCCGGCCGCGGCUUCCUUGGACCCUUGGCUACCUUCUUCUUCACCUUUCCAGGCAGGUCGACGGCUAGGCCGCUGGAAUUCGGCGGGGCGUCGGCCAUGGACGAGGGAGGGUGGGGGCGGGACGUGGGAGGAUUUGGGGGGAAAUGGCGCCAAAUGGGGCGCGGGGGGUUUUGCUUUGUGCCACCGACGUGCGGGCCAGGGGAGGACACGCGCGCGCGUCCCGCCCGUUCGCGCGCUGUCCGUUUCACUCCAAAAGCGACGCAAACUUGGGUCGGGGAUGGGUCGAAAGCGGAAACGGACAAACGCUCGUUUGCGCCCGCGCGUUGGGCUGUCUGAUUUGUUCGUUUUGCCCCAAACGGACGCACCCGGAUAGGAUGUGGUCGCGCGCUGGAGUUGGCCUAAGUACUGAAGCAGGGCAAUGUCCUAGCAAGGACAUACUCUCUGUAUCAAUCUUGAUGCCUUUCAUGCCCCUCUUUGUAAAAUGCUCCUAUUGAAUAAAAUCUUUAUUUUUUUAAAAAAAAGAGAGCUUAUGCCAAUGUGAUAUUUUUCUUACUAGGAUAUAUGUGAUCCUUUUUCCUUAAAACCGAUGAUUUAGUGUAAUGGCUGCUUCAAUUAUUGCGGAUGUGUUUAGUUAGUGACAAAAGAGGAAAGAAAAAGCUAGACUCAGCAUCGAGAGCUCACGCGGAAAGCAGCCCUGUGGUGCGCACACCACACCACACACACUGGCAAAAAGCACGGAGCCUGGCCUGAGCCUCCGCCUCCGCCAUAGGCAGUCGCAGUCUCACACAACCCUCCCGCUUCCAUCGUUUCCCCACGUCUCGCCUCGCCUCCAGAGCUUUCCCCCUUCCUCUUUCCCUUUCCACCUCCCCCGAACCCUUCGACCCCGAGAGCCUAAAAAAUUCGAGCCAACAACAACAGAGAGAGACUGCGACAGCCCCCCGGCGCCGGCCGCCGGGUCCUCGCCGGGCUGCGGGCCGCCAGCGCAUGGCAUCGUCGCGGGUGAUGGCCGCGUCGUCGCAGCCGCCGCCGUCCGGCUCCUCCGAUCUCGCGCGCUUCCGGAGCGCCAGCGGCAUCGGAUCCAUGAACAUGGACGACAUCCUCCGCAACAUAUACGGCGAGGCGCCCCCGUCCGGCGCCGGCGCCCCGGCGGACCCCGCCCCCGCGCCGGAGGCCGCCGCCCGCCGGACGGCUGAGGAGGUCUGGAAGGAGAUCUCGGCCACCGGGGGCCUCUCCGCCCCCGCCCCCGCCACCGCCCCCGCCGGCGCCGGAGGCGGCGAGGCGGGCGGCGCGGCCGUGAUGACCCUGGAGGAUUUCCUCGCCAGGGAGGACGACGGUAGGGUUACGGCGGUGGAGGGGAACAUGGCGGUAGGGUUCCCCGAUGUGGGGGCGGAUGUGGGGGCGGGUGUGGCCGGAGGGCGACGACGAGGUGGCGGUGCCGGCGGCGCCGGAAGGGCGAGGAAGAGGGCGCUGAUGGAUCCCAUGGACCGCGCCGCGACGCAGCGGCAGAAGCGCAUGAUCAAGAACCGCGAAUCUGCGGCCAGGUCCAGGGAGAGGAAGCAGGUUACGCGAAAUGUCUCAGCAGGGACAAAUUUGAUGCAUUUUUGCACGGUUUGACCUUUGUCCCAGCUGUACAGUCGAGUGGAAUUUGACGCUUUCAUUUGGUUUCGGAUGUAGGCUUACAUCGCAGAACUGGAGGCACAGGUCACACAGCUUGAGGAGGAACAUGCCGAACUGCUUAGAGAACAGGUAUGUUUUUGGUUCUGCUUUAGUUUGGAAUGAAAGUUACGAAUUGUGCGGAUUGAGCAUGCUUACUUUCCAAGGUUCGAUGGCUUAACAGUCAGUUAGAUAGUGACCCCAUUAUAUGUUUAGAUUGGGCAUGAGGGCACACUAUGAUUAUGGAACUAGGCCAACUAGGGCGAUGCCAAAUUGAUCAUUCUAAGUUGUUAUAUUUUAAUAUUUAUACUCACAUACCAAAUGUGCCAGCUCUUUCACAUAACUACAGUAAGCUAUUUUAUAUCUUUAUGAGUUUCUGGGAAAUACUUAUGUAGUUAUGUUACUAAGCGAUAGAUACCUUAAAAAUGUGGUUAGUCUUUUGUCACCAUUGCAUCAUAGACCAUCUGGAUUCUUUUCUUGUUGUCGCAUUAAGAAUUACUAUUAAGUGAUAACAUAUUUCCAUCGGGGAACUGAGUUUGGCAGAGAAGUGUAUUUCUUGGUAGUGUCAUUUGCUGGGUUAGCACUUCUGUAAUGCCUUUUUUUUGUAGUGCCAAUAGUUAUUGCAACCCAUAUCUUUUGUUCGUUGAUUCAUUAUGGUUUCGGCUUUUUAUUCCUGUCAAUGUCAUACUGCCAUCACCAGGAUUACCCACCGAUUUAGUGUGCCAAAGUAUCUUCCUGUCAAAAAUAGACUGGGGACUAAUUGCCUCUUGCAUGCACCUGGCUGUCUGUAUGUGCCUUCAUCUUUAACUUUUGGUUAUAUGACCUUCUGCUGAAUUGUCUCUAUUUUAUUAUUCUUGUUGCAGGAGGAGCAAAACGAGAAGAGGCUUAACGAGGUAUAUUCUUUGCAAAACGUUAUUGCUUACAAGCAUGUUUAGAUUUAGCAAGUUGCUUUAACAUAUAUAUGGAUCACCAUGUCAAGUAUAUUUUUCGUGGAUUUCAUUACUCACUAUCUUUCUUCCUCCAUAUGCUAAAUAGAUACUCCCUCCGUUUCAAAAUAGAUGACUCAACUUUGUACUAAAGUUAGUACGAAGUUGAGUCAUCUAUUUUGAAACGGAGGGAGUAUGUAUUAGCGUUUUCUUUUUAUUUAAAGAUGGUCCAGCCAGCAAUUUUGGUAACUAUUUCACCCUGGAAAGCUAGUCAAGUUGAAGCAUCAUAGUACUCUAUGUUGUCACCUUAUCUGUGGUACACGGAUGUUUUUUCUGCAUAAUUGAUGACUAUGGGCAGAUAACAGUAACAACAUUGGCAUUACAUCCUCUAUUCUUAUAUCUCAGUGCACCCAUGGCCUUGCAAUAACGGAUUUGUAUAUGAAUUAGUCAAAUUGUAUUCCCAUGUCUCCACUAUCGAGAACUAUCCUUUUUGUUGCUAUAAAGCUUAAGUACUCUUUGAUUCAUUAUAUCCUUAGGAAUCUUUCCUGUGUGGGUUGUUUCAUUCGCAAGAUUGCAAACCAUAGGAUUAGUUCGCACUAGAUGUCAUAGAAAAACUUCCAUCAGCUCCAAUCUCUCGGAAAGAAUUCCUAUGUGUUUUCCUAUGGCAUGACACUCUCAUCUUGCAUUUUCCUUACCCCUAGUUUUGGAAAUCCUGCGAAUAAAAAGGGCCCUUAUUUGUUGCCCGGUAUUCAAACAUGCAUUGGCGGCUGUUUUUCAACUUCAUUUCUUAGAAGUAUUUUGUGUUUAUGCAGCUCAAGGAACAAGCAUUCCAAGUCGUCGUAAGGAAAAAACCAUCGCAAGAUCUUAGAAGGACCAACUCGAUGGAAUGGUAGAAGUAUCAGCAAGCUCUGUUGUUAUUCUCUUACAGUUACAGGGUUUCUUCUUUUGCUUUCUGUUUACCCUAGUCGUCGUUGCUGGCGGCGAUGUAGAAGCAGCAAGACUUGUUAGGCGGAAGGACUCUAGUUCAAAAAGAGAAGAAAAGAUGUAGUAGACGAGGUUCUGUGCGUGAUCGGAAAGGUCAUGCCAUUCAGAAUCGGUGUGUGAUCAGCUAUUUAAUUUUGCUGUCAUUGUAUGUAAAAACCAGAAUAAGCAAUGUUUGCAUAAAAUGUAGACUAGAGUUGUCUCAGUUACAAAGACAUUUGAAGAGAUGUUUGUUUGUGUUCAGUUUUCAGCUUCGUACAGUUUCAGUUUGACACAUUGGCGUGUUGGUUCAUAGCCACACAUGCCAAACUUUGCCACAAGUGUGAAAUACUUCUGACAAAUCGUGCCAACGCUUGUGAUGAUUAAUUUGUUCACCGCACUUGUGAUGGCAUGCCCCAACUUAGUGAGGAAAGUGUGGUGAAAGCCUGGUUAUAAAUCAAACAUGACCUAAAUGGUCAGUGUACAUAUUUUGAGACCAUUGAAUGUGGAUAGAAUCUACUCCCUCCGUCCCAUAAUAUAAGAUCAUUUUUCAGUUUGAAAAACGAUCUUAUGUUUGGAGUAAUUGUCAAACCGUAGAUACUCAAAAUUCCAUGUAAGUGAUUCAGAAAGCGCCAUAUUAUUUCUGUGACAUGACACUGACUUUAAGCUGUAAGCAACUUUAUAUUCCACAAAACAAAGGGGAACAAUGUUUGGAUCAUGAGCUUGUCAAACAUAUUGACAUAAAACGCACCAGUUAUACAUUCCAUUUGAAACGGUUACAAAACGCGGGUGGCUUUGUGAGAAGGGUUGAUGUCGGUUCCCUCACAAAUAAAUGAGAUGUUACAAUAGAAACGUUCCAUCAAAUCAGUAAUGGCGCAUACCAAUCACUGAAACAUCAGAGAUGUACACAAUAGUCACAUAUGUGCCCACCAGCAUAUUGCAUCUUGCCAGAAAAGGCAUCAAUUCCAUUUCAGAAAAAGAUAUUGAUAGAGUUAUAAAAAUCUAGUUGUCCCAAAGGUUCUAGACAGGCAUGAAAGAGAAUAGAAACGAUACGCACUUAGAUACAAAUGAUAGCGCACCAUGGACAGCACAAAGCUUUAAUCUGACAUCCAUCGUCUCUCAAACCCACCACCACCGGCAGCGCCAACAAGUAUGCAAGUACUGUAGAAGACUUGUUGCAGCAGCAGCAGCAGCAACAACAGCAGUGAAGGGGCUACAGUACACGUACAAGGAGCAUCUAACGUCACCAUUCGAGAGCAGCGACCGAAGACAUUAUGAUUUCCUGAAUAUGUUGUACAACCUGCGGAAAGAGGAAAUGAAAUGAAGUGUAUAAAUAUGUCGAAAAAUGAACCACGCAAGGGCUGUUAUGUCUGUCAGGGAUUGAUCUUAUGCCUUCAGAUCUGGAGUAAUACAUUUUGGCCUUCAUAAAUGGUUCUUGGCCUUCAUAAAUGGUUCAAGAGAUGAUCAUCACGGGUUAUCUAUCAAAAAUCAACACACAAAAAAACAGUCAUGAAAUCUGCUAGCACACAACAGAGAGUCCAAGGGAUGUAUUAGGUAGGGCAGAGGCAGCGAUAACAGUACACGUGAGCAAGGCAAAUGGGAGCAGAGAAGCAGAGCAGGCAUGCAGCAUAUCCUCCACGUAGGAUUUUAGAGUAUGACCAUGCAAAAGAGUUCGAUUCAGAUGAAAUUCCGAGAAUUCUGAAUCACAACAUGGCCCUCAGAUUUCAGUUUCAUCAUAGGCUAAUGCAGUGGGCUUCAAAGCUGGCACUGGGGCAUGUCUGGGUGAACCGAAGAGGAGGCAAGGCGAUGGCGGCGACGGGGACGCCUGUAGCAAGAGCAGGCCCAUCACUCAGUGGUAGGGCUUCCGCAGAAGCAACGGCUGAUAAGACUUGGACGCUGUAUUUCCGUUAUGUUAAGUAAUGGAAAGGGGUUAUGCCCGGUUCAAAAAAAAAGAAGCAACGGCUGAUCCACAGACACAUGCCUCAGCGCCCAGAGCAGAGAAGCCAGCGCUGCAUCACCAUUUCAGGUCUUCAACCUUGCGAAUGCAACGGCUGAUCCCGUUUCGAGCUCAAACCUAAGCCAAUCUAUCUAUCUAGGGCUUUCAACCUAAUCAUCACUGGGCCAAGGGAAAAUCCAUGCAGCAAGCGAAAAUAUAGUAAUGGACCAAAGAAACUAGGAAAUUAAAUCCGAACCGGGCUUGAUCAAAACAAAUAAUCAAACCACCAGAAAACCAAAUAAUUGAAAAGGAAAAUAGCCGUAGGAGACUUCUUGUGCCACCAGCAGCAGCAGGAGGAACGAAGGGGCCACAGAAGGACCAUCACAUCAACAUUCAUUCAAAAGCAGCAAACAGAAAGAUCAUGAUCCCAUACUGUAGAGCCUGAGGAAAGAGGAAAUGAAAUGAAGAGUACAAAUGUACCGAAAAAUGAACCGCGCAAGGGUUGUGGCAUCUGUCAGGUAGUAGUUAUCUUAUGCCUUCAGAUCUAGUAAUACAUUUGGCCUUGCAAAAUGGUUCAAGAGAUGGUCAUCACGGUUAUCAAAAAUCAACAACAGUUGUCAAGAAAUCUGCUAGCUCACAAAAGAGAGUCAAAGGGAUGUAUCAGAUAGGGCAGAGGCGGCGAUAACAGAGAUGGGGAAGGGAUGUUAGUGACCUCGUGUCGUCAAUCAAUCAUCAAGGCAAACAGAAGCAGAGCAGGCAUGCACCGUCUCCUCUACCUAGGGAGGUUCCGGUGCACCAUUGCGCAUUAAACGAUAAUACAACACGAUAAAGACAAGGUGCGUAUACUGAUGGUUUGAUAGCACGCCCACAGGAAGAUCGCCCUCAGAUAUCAAAAGAGUGUCCCAAAUGGAUCGGCAGAAAACCUGAAUAGUACUCCCUCCGUCCCGUAAUAAAAGAGCGUUUUUGACACUACACUAGUGUCAAAAACGCUCUUAUAUUACGGGACGGAGGGAGUACAACCAUUGCAAUGACAACCACAACAGAAGCAACAACAAGCAGAAAGAAAGAAAGAGUGGAAGCAGAGAGAUGGCCCUUCCACAUGAACAGCAGGCCCAUCUCAGUUUUCACCUGAUUCCCACUUUCCAAGAGCAUGCUUCAGCGCCCAGAACAGAAAAAGCCAACGCUGCAUUAGCCAUUCCAAGAGCAAGGCGCAGCCGCAUUUAAGCACAACCAUGUCAGUCUUCUAUUAAUCAUCAUGGGGCCAAUGGUAAAUCCGAGCAACAAUUGUAAAUAUACUGACAAUACAGUGCAAAAACAAACAGACCAGCAAAGCCCAUCUGUACCUAGAUCAGAUAAAAGAAAUGGAAACAACACCAAUAUUGGUGUGUGGGCUUGGCGGUAGGACAGGAAGGAGAAAUUUGAAGCAGAACUCAUAAACAUACCAAUUUGAAUCACUAAUAAACACUGCAGAGAGAAACCAGCAACACUUAAGCCACUUCAAAAUCUUCACCCUAGUAAAGGGACUACCACUUGGAGACCGGAACUCAAUUCCAAGCUGAUUUACAACAGUGAUCUCUCCUGAUAAAUCAUCAAACUACGAAGAUUUUCUUUCGCUGAGGCGAAAAGCAAAACCAUGAACUGAAAAGGUACUAGAAAUGUAUGAAGAAAUCAACAGAGCACACUUGAUCAUAUCAGACAAAACCACAGCAAAUGCACAAAAUAAUGUAAAAUCUAAACAUAGGAGACAACAAUGCCAAUUACGGGUCCCCAUCAAGCCAACGGAGACGGAUCUGGAAGAUGAAGCUGAAAAUAAAUAAAACAAUCAAAACUUAGCUGGCAAUUUGUAUAAGGUAUGAGAAAGAAACAUAAUGCCCUCAGGUGCCAUAGAUGUAGGAUGUAAUGUUCACUGAUGGCACAAGAAAUGAUCUUCCUUUUGUCCAUAAGGCCAUGUGAAAGGUUGAUCUGCUGUGAACUGCUGUUGCUGCUGUUGUUGUUGUUGCUGCUGCUGCUGCAUGCGUGAUUACGCAUCCAGAGAGAGAAAGAGAGAGCGAGCGAGAGAGAGAGAGACGGGUGCGGGGUGGGGGGAGGAGAGGAUCAUGUAAGUGCCAUCUCUACAUUUUCAGUUUUCAUCAUUGGGCAAUGCAUUAUAGAAGCCAAUAUUUCAAUGGAAAAAUGGCCUUGUAUAAAUGGAAAAAUGAAAACUGGAGUUACACCUUGUAAAAAUGGAUGGACGGAGUAUAAAAUAUGCUCGGUCGCAAAAUCUGUACCAAAAGUAUGCCAUAUUUACUAUGAAAGAGCCAAUCUGCAUCUGAGAAUGGCAAAUGAGCAGUUUUUUAUGACACGUGACACAAAAUAACGUAAAAGAAACAAAAUCAAGAAUAAAAAUGUACAAAAAUGAUCAUUGGAUGAACUGGUAACAUCUGUCAAGAGUGUGAUACUAUGCCUUCAUAUCUAACAAAUCAGGUAUGGGUGUGGGUGUUUCAGUGAUAUCGAUUAAUUAUCUUACCCAUACACUAGCCAAGAUAUUGGCGAAGACAGCGCAUACAUGCCCGGAUGGACUGCUCCACCUAUUGCGAGGUGGCAUUCCACCAUUGCGCAUACAUGUGAAAGCUGGCUGUUUGACAAUGAGCCUGUGCAAAAAGUUCAAUUCAGAUGAAAAUACCGAGAAUUCUGUAUUACAACAUGGCCCUCAGAUUUCAGUUUCAUCAUAGGCUAAUGCAGCGGGCUCCAAAGCUGGCACUGGGGCAUGUCUGGGUGGGCAGAUAGAGGACACAAGACGAUCAUGGCGACGACGAUGGUGUCGGCGACGAGGACGGCGGUGUCACCAGAGUGACACAUUAGCCGGAAGGAAGGGAAGGAAGGAGAGAUAGACCAGGAGUAUGGGCCGGCCCAUCAGUCAGUGGCAAAGCUUCAGCUGAAGCAACAGCUGACCCAAGACACAUGCCUCAGCGCCUAGAACAGACAAGACAGUGCUGCAUAAGACAUUUCAGGGGCCUCAACUUUGAGGAUGCAAAGGCUGGCCCUGUUUGGAUGGGGGUUCCAUCAUAAUCAUCAUUGGGCCA